GCUGUUGGAUGGGGCGCAGGUGCGCUUGUCCGGACGGACGGAGCUGAAUCGAAUCAUGCAGCAGGUGCGGCUACGAGCUGCGCGAGACUUGGACAGUAUUUGAUUCGUUUCUGUAUAAGCAGUAGAUGGAUCGUUGCUGUUCAACUUGGUCCUGCUGCGUACUUGUUGCUGCACGCUGAAUCGAAUCAUGCAGCAGGUGCGGCUGCGGGCUGCGCGAGACUUGGACAGUAUUUGAUCCGUUUCUGUAUAAGCAAUAGAUGAAUCAUUGUUGUUCAACUUGGUCCUGCUGCGUUCUUGUUGCUGCACUAUUUUAAUAUUUUUGGGACAUUUUCGUUCAAAAUUCGCUCACUUUUCGUUCAGGAAUUCAAAAUCUGGAUGGUGCUUUCCGUCCGGAAUUUUCUGAUUUUUUCCGAAAAGCCGAAUUUCGCCAAUUUCGUUCUGGGGCGGUAUAUUUUCCAUAACGAAAUCCAAAAGCCUGUCCGGCACCCACCCUCCUACCACUCGAGCACCGCCCAUGCAUAGACGCUGCCAUCAGCCGCGUCAUCGAGGUCGAUUCCCUGGACCAACCCUUGCCCUCGUUUGCAUCGGUGGCUCCGCCAGUCUCGAUGGGAUCAUUUACUCGAUCUCGAUCAUCGGGCUCUUCUCCGACGAGUACGGCAGUGGUGCCUCGUCCGAGUCUUUGGUCGACGCCAUCCUGCCUCCUCUCUCUGUGUUGGCGCCCAUGCCGUACUCCGAAUGUUCUUCAACUAAAGCAACUGAUUGCCACCCCCUCUGGCAGCGAAGGUUGUCAUCCCCUCUGUCUCUCAUUUUUUUACAUCCUUGUCAUAAUGCUGCCGUGUGUUGCUAUUGUUUCAUUAAUGAAGUGACAUGAUGUUGUUGUAUGAAUAAAAGUGAGCUGCUGAUUUUUGAAUAAAACUGACUUGUUUGUAGAUUCUUCUAUGGGCAGAAGAAAGAUCGAAUUGACCUUGUGCUUUGACGGUGGUAUGGAUAUCGAUGGCCGUCCGUCACCAAUCAAAGGAGGGUGAUGUCAUACAUUGUGUAGAUGGGGUACUCGGCUGACAACAAGCUCCAAGGCAAGAGGGUGGCAACCGACAAGCAGAGUCUCCGUGUUGAGGAGGUCAUCCUACUCCCUGUACAUUCCUGGCCUCGCGAGAACGUGCACUGGUUUGAUUUGGUCCAAUUCAGUUUGAUUCAAUAGUUGUGGUAGUGCUGAAUUGUCAGAUUCAACAUUUGUUUGCCAAGUCUUUACUUCAGUGAAAUCACUCAGAUAGAAGUAGGAGAGGAAGAAAAAGAACGUCAUUAUAUUCAGGUCCAGUGGUAAAUGCUUACAUAUGUUCUUGAUCCCCACACACAACUUGCUUUUAUUAGUACUUUUCUUGUUGGUGGAACAUAACUAGAGAAAAUAUUUGUGUGGUUUUAGCAUGUUCUGAUUAUGAAAAAUCAGAAUUCGAUACCCAUCUUUUAUUUGUCGUUCAUGUUUCGACGCUACAACUUGCUUUUAUUAGUAUUUUUUUUGUUGGUGGAACAUAACUAGAGCAAAUAUUGUGUGUGGUUUUAGCAUGUUCUGAUUAUGAAAAAUCAGAAUUUGGUACCCAUCUUUUAUUUGUCGUUCGUGUCUCAACGCUCAUAUUGCAUGGUUCAGCGACUGGUUCGACAUUACAGAAAUAAGUUGGAGAAAUUCCUUUUCAUACAUAAUAGCAUCAGUUAAAACAGUCGAAGCCAACAAAAAAAAUUCUGGUCAUGUAUGCGUCGAAUGUUAAUAUUUGCUACAUCAUUUUUGGAAGUAGCCAACCCUACAAAAUUAAGAUCAUGACAUGCAUAAGUAUAAUUGGUUAUGUGGAGAAAAAUUAUAGUCCAAAACUAUAUUAUGCACAUGCAGAAAUUGCAUUACAUAACACAAUAAAUCGCAUGCAAUCCUGACAAGACAAUGGUUUUUCUUUGUUGCCGCAAUAUCAUGACAUAAUUUUUAUUUAUUUAUACCUUUUAUAUGUGGAUAAUAGGAUAGUGUAUAUUGUCAUUAAUGUUCCUUAUCAAGGACUGCUUCGUUUCAUAUUUGAAAAAAUUCAUGUCGAAUCAAAAGAAUCACAUGUCCCCGUUGCAACGCAUGGGAAAUUAACUAGUAUAAUUGAAUGGGGCUUUCUCAGGAUUAUUAAAGAAGUGCAUAAUAUUUUCCACAUAACGAGCCUCGAGGGUUUUAGGAGGUUCCCCAUCUCCAUGAGUAGGAAGUACACCUAAUUUUUUUUGGUAUUUCGUGUUGCAUAUCCAUAACUAAAGAUAGAGAACAAGUUAGAACAGCAAAUAAAUCUACUUAGUGAUAAAGCAAACAGGCACACACGAGGAUAUUCACCCCACGCUAUUGCUCCCCGGCAACGGCGCCAUAAAAAGGUCUUGAUAACCCACAAGUAUAGGGGAUCAAUUGUAGCCUUUCUCGAUAAGUAAGAGUGUCGAACCCAACGAGGAGCUAAAGGUAGGACAAAUAUUCCCUCAAGUUCUAUCGACCACCGAUACAACUCUACGCACACUUUACGUUCUCUUUACCUAGAACAAGUAUGAAACUAGAAGUACUUUGUAGGAGUGAUAGGAUAGGCUUGCAAGAAAGUAAAGAACAAGUAAAUAAAACUAGGGGCUAGUUAUAUAAAGAAACAACUACGAGUGUCUAACGAGUGUGGAAAAGUGGUGGUAGGAGUUGCGGAAUUGUCCCUAAGCAAUUGAAUACAUUACUAGAUCGAUACCAAAUAUCAUGUGGGAGAGGCCUCUGCUAGCAUGUCAUCCCUUACAUGGAAUUCUAUGCACUUAUGAUUGGAACUAUUAGAAAGCGUUCGCAACUACUAACGUUCAUUAAGGUAAAACCCAACCAUAGCAAUAAGAUUUAUUGGCCCCCCUUCAAUCCCAUAUACAUCAAUUUCUAUGCUAGGUUGAAGCUUCUGUCACUCUAGCCUGCCAAUACAUAGUCCUAUCAACAUACAACUAACCCUAUGGUGUGAUCCACGUGCGCGAUGAUAUGAUGGGCACCAAAGGAUAGCAACGUAACCACAAGCAAAUUAAACCAAUCAUAGCAAUUCAUCAAUCACCGAUAGGACAACGAUAAUCUACUCAGACAUCAACGACUAUCUACACCAAAGGAUAGCAACACAUCAUUGGAUAAUAAUAUGUAGCAUAAAGCACCAUGUUCAAGUAGAGGGUACAACGGGUUGCGGGAGAGUGAACCGCUGAAUAUAGAUGGGGGAAGAUGAUGGAGAUGUUGGUGAAGAUGACGGAGGUGUUGGUGUAGAUAGCCGUCACACGAUGAUGUCCCGGGCGGCGUUCCGGCGCCGCCCGGAGAGAGGGGGAAAGAGGCCCCCUCCUUCUUCUUCUCCUUGACCUCCUCCCUUGAUGGGAGAAGGGUUUCCCCUCUGGUCCAUGGUCUCCACGGCGGCGGAGGGGCGAGAGCCCCUCCGAGAUUGGGUCUCUCUCUCUGUGUCCUUCUGUUUCUGCGCUCCGAGAUUCUGCGUUUCACCGUUUCUUAAUGUCCCGGAGAUCCUUAACUCCGAUUGGGCUGAAAUUUUAACACGAUUUUCUUCCGGAUAUGAUCUUUCUUGCGGCGAAAGAAGGGAGCCAACCGCCUUAAGGAGUGGCCACAAGCCUGCCAGCCGCGAGCCCUCCCCCUGGCCGCGGCUGGUGGGCUUGUGGGCACUCCGUGCACCAUCUUGCGUUGAUUCUUCUUCCCAAAACUCAUAAAUAUUCCCAAAAUAAUCCCUGUAAAUUUUUAUUGCGUUUGGACUUUGUUUGGUAUGGAUAUUCUGCGAAACAAAAAACAUGCAACAAAUAGGAACUGACACUGGGCACUGGAUCAAUAUGUUAGUCCCAAAAAUAGUAUAAAAAGUUGCCAAAAGUAUAUGAAAGUUGUAGAAUAUUGGCAUGAAACAAUCAAAAAUUAUAGAUACGACGGAGACGUAUCAAGGCCCAACUAGCAUGUGGCUCUAUCAUCAAGCAAAAGCAUGUAUGACAUUAAGAUCAAGUCAUGAGAUGGUGGAUGUUGCAUGUCAAUGUAUCUCGGAAAGGCUAUGGAAAUGCCUUGAUAGGUAGGUAUGGUGGCUGUUUUGAGGAAGGAUAUAAUGAGGCUUAUGAUGACAGAGUGUAUCAUGCCAAGGGUUUGGAUGCACCGGCGAAGUAUGCACCAACUCUCAAGAUGAGAAAGGGCAAUGCACGGUACCGAAGAGGCUAGCAAAAUAUGGAUGGUGGAAGUGCCAACAAUUGAAUACUCGCAUUAGUCCGAAAAACUCAUGCACUUAUUAUCGGUAACUCUCUAUCUAUUCAGGAGAUUCACAAAGAGAGAAGUACCCCGAGGAGGAGUGUUUGGGGGUUUGGUUAUCCUUGCGCAUCCUCGACCCAUGAUAACGUGAGGGUACUCUAUAUAUUCCGACCCCUCCAGAGGUUAGCGAUCCAUCUAGUAGCUAGAGUUCUCAACUAAUUUUUCUAUUUUUGAAAAUACACACGGAUUUCCCAAAAUACGACGCCUAUCACUAAUAGUCUCAAGCUAUUGACACCAAAAUUCCAAACAUUACUCAAAUCAAUACUUCAAAACUAUUGCAAGUUACUACUAUACUUAAACAACAACCUCAAUUACCUACUCAUGCAAUACACACAACUCAGUGCAACAAGCCAACUCUCUAAACAAGAUAAACAUGAUAAGUGAAGAGAGUUCCAAAAGAAUCCUAAAGAAAAGCUCUUAAAAAGAUAAAGCAUGGAAACUGAGAGCUAAACGUGAUAGCAGUUAUGAAAAGAUAAAGAACGCACAAAAAGAUAAACAUGAAAACCUAUGUUGUGUUCUAGGGUGGAGUGGAGCGUGUUUCUCUCCCAAACAAAGAAGGCCAGGGUCCAACUUGUUAUGAACAACAAUCAAAACUAAGAAAACCUAUGCGGGACGCUCCAAGCAUAGCACAUAACAUAUGAAGUGAUAAAAAUAUAGCAUGGAGAAGGACGAACUGAUGAUUGUUGAUGGAGAAGGGGAUGCACAGGGACAUCCCCGAGCUUAGACCCUUGAGUAUUCUUGAAUAUUUCUUGGGGUGCAUGGGGGCAUCCCCAAGCUUGAGCACUUGACAGUCAUGGAUCUUCUUUCAUCAUCUGCCAUCGCAUACUUGAGAAGUCCCUUCACACGAAACUCAUCAUACGCUGAUUAGAGUGGUUAGUACCCAUAAUAAAAUAUAUUUUCUCUAGUAGAAAUAAAGAUUUUCAUGAAGAGAUAUUGUUUCUCAAGAUUUCCAAAAUGUUUUUGCAAAGAAAAAUCAAGCUUAAGAUUUGCAAAACGAUGAAAACGCAAAACGUGGCAGAAUCUGUGAAAAACAGACGAGUAGGUAGUAAAUAAUUUUUAGGGGCACUUAUGCAAUUCAAAUCUAAAAACUCAAAGCAGACGCUAGAAAUCCAAUUGUAUAGAGCAUACUCUCAAAACAAUUCAGAUCAAAAAGAUUAUCUCGUGAUUUUUGGUGAAUUUUUCCGUCAAGCACACAAAAUCUGUUUCUGGACAACAUGUCACAACUUUUGAACUUUCUUGCAAUCGGAGGUAAAACUUCGCACAAAGCUUAAAAAUACAGAUACAAUGAUGUUGCUACAGUAGUAACACACAUCAAGACUACUAAAAACUGAAAGUAAAAACUCAAAGUAAAGAUAACAAGGGUUGUCUCCCUAGAGCUCUUUCCUUAUAGCCAUACAGAUAGGCUUAUGAUUUUAAUGAUCCUCUCAUAGGAAUAACAGUUGUAUAACAAAAGAGAGCAUCAAGAAGCAAAUACCAAACACAUUUAAGUAUAACGUGCUUCCUAUGCAUAGGAAUAUUGCAAUAAUAAUUCAUUGAAGCACAAAGCAAUAAGCAUAGGAAGGCAAAACAAGUGCAGCUUCAAAACCAUCAACAUAAAGAGAGGGAACUCGAUAUUAUUGAAAUAUCUAUAAGCAUAUUUUCCCUUCUCAUAGUAAUUUUCAGUGGGAUCAUGAAUAAACUCAACAAUAUAAGUAUCACAUAAAGCAUUGUUACCAUGAUCCACAUGCAAAAAGGUACUCUUACUCUCCACACAAGCAUAAUCUUUGGGGAGCCCAUGGUUAGGACAUUUUAGCAUUAAAGUUUUCAAUCUCCCCCAAUCUUGAGUUAUGCUCUCUCCAUCAUGAGGAUAGAAAUUAUAAACAUAAUUCCUAUUCUCAUGGAUUUCCUGAAGAGGAUAAAACUUGGAGUAAAAAAGAGACUGGAUCUCUUCCCAAUCCCGUAGGUGGAAUCAUCUAGUAGCCUAUACCAUUCCAAUGCUUUUCCUUCUAGUGACAAGGAAAAUAAUUUCCUCAUGACUCCAUAUCUUGUCAAACCUGAAAUCUUAAACAACUCACAAAGUUCUAUAAGUUUCAACAAAUGAAUACUAGGAUUGACUAUUCCAUCUCCUGUAUAACAAUCAUUCCAAAUUAUUUCAAUUAUCCCAAGUGGUAUUUUGAAUGGGAUACAUUCAGUAGGUGGAGGAGACUUCUCUACCACGGAUGUGGUAAAGCGGCCUUCCCCAAGUAGCGAACUAAGAGUGCAGUUUUCCAUAAGCCUAACUAGUGAAAAUAAAAAGAAGAAACGAAAAGAUUGAAUUGCAAGAUCUAAAGAUAUACCUUCAAGCACUCACCUCCAGGCAACGGUGCCAGAAAUAGCUUGAUGUCUACGCAUGCUUCUAUUCUUGUAGACUAUGUUGGGCCUCCAAGCGCAGAGGUUUGUAGGACAGAAGCAAUUUCCCUCAAGUGGAUGACCUAAGGUUUAUCGAACUCAGGGAAGUAGAGGUUGAAGAUUGUCUCUCUCAAGCAACGUUGCAAUGAAGAAACAAGAAGUCUCUUGUGUACCCAACACACCUAAUACAAUGGUAAAUUGUAUAGGCGCACUAGUUUAGCAAAGAGAUGGUAAAAUAUGGGUGAUAGGUGUGGCAAAGAAAGGUAAUAUAAAGCUGUAAUAAAAAGUGACAAAAGUGAGCAUAAACGGUGUAACAAUGGUGAGAAAUAAGUCCUAGGCUUCAUAAUUUCACCAGUGGCAACACCCAACAACACUAACAUAGUCAAAUCACAUGAUAUUUCCACUAAAACAUGCAAUGGUGAUGUACUUGUAGGUCAUUCCUUUGUGAUCAAAAGAGGACGAGAAUUAUGUAGGGCUACAAAAGCAGACCUCCGAGUUCAUAGUUCUCAUCUAUGGAUUUCCCAAUGUCACCGCGGCCAUCCAAAGAAAGUACCACAAUCACCACAACGUAUCUCAAGGAUAGUCAAAGACAAGCACCAAGAGACUCUCAAUCUUCAAUCAAUUCACAAAAGAGGAAAUCACUCAUGAAAAUAUUCUUAUCAUCCAUGUCCAAUAGACCGCUAUCACCAUGGUCUCGGGGAUUAUUUUAUAUAAGAUGAAGUGAGUACAUCAACCCAAUACAUAGAAGAAGGCGAAACAUCAUGGGAUCACCCUAGGUUAACAAAGCCUAUGAUCACAAUCAAGAUCACCUCAUGGGAGUGAGAAUUAACCACAUAGCUAUAGUAGAAGACCUCAGCCCCGAGGAGGAACUACUCCCGCUUCAUGGAGGGAGGAAGCAACAUCGAUGGAGAUGAAUCCGAGGGCACUUCGCCGUCCCGGGAGAGUGCCGGCACAGGAAUUCUGGUCCCUCGAAACUUGUUGGCGAUGGCGGCGGAGAUCGGAAUUGCUUCUCAAGAAAAGGGUUCCGGAAAUCAGGAUCCCUCCACGGGGAAAAAUAGGAGGCAAGGUAGGGCACCAUAGGGGGUGGGCCCCACCUAGGCGACCUCCCUACGUGGCCAGGGGGCAGGCCACGCCACGAAGGCGCUUGGGGGCCUGGUGACCCCCUGUGGCCCUCCUUCGGCCAUCUGGAGUCUUCUGGAACGCUGAUUGUUUAUAUAUUUUUUGUGGAAUUUUUCGGGCACUAUAAAUAUGGGUAUAAACCUGCAAUUCACAGACAUCAGCAGACAGAAACUGGCACUGGGUGCACUAAGUUAGUAGGUUAGUCCAAAUAUGUUGAAAAGGUACGAAAGUGUACAAAACACAUAGCAAUAUCACCCAAAACAUGCAUGGAGCAAGCAUAAAUUAUAGAUACAUUUGGAACGUAUAAAGUGUCAAUAUUAGAAAGUUUGUAGUAACUGGGUUUUUUAUAAUCAUCAGGUUCACAGUCACUUGAGUCAGAAGAGGAAGUGUGUUUGGGUAUCUUGGCACCUUUUGCCAUGAAGAAAUAGGCGGGAGCAAAGUCGUUGUCGCAGUUAUCACUGUUGUUGACGUCGUCAUUUUCUUCGAGGUCGAAGAUGGAUUUGCUGACGAAUGUGGUAGCAAGGGCUAGGCUUGGCACACCAGACUCUGACUCCUCCUCAGAUCUUUCCUCUUCAUAACAUUCCUCAGAUUCUUCCUUAGAAUCCAUUUCCUUGCCAAUAAGUGCCCGAGCCUUUCUAAAAUUGUUCGUCUUGUGCGAUGAGGACUUUGAAGAUGAGGAUUUUGAAGAUUUCUUAUUUUUCAUUGAGUCAACAGAACUUUCAACCUUGUACCUCUUCUUCAUUGAUUUCUUCACCCAACGAGGACAAUCAUCAAUGUAGUGACUAGACUUCUUCCAUUUAUGGUAGGUUCUUUUCUUGUAGUUCUCAGAUGAAGAUUCUGAUUUCCUCAUAUAUCUUCUUGAAGAUUUUCCGAACUGACCUCGUCUCGAGAACUUCUGGAAUUUCGUGACGAGCAUAGCAAUUUCUCACCAAGUUCUUCAGGAUCACCAGGACUGCCAUCAGAUUCUUAUUCUUCAUAUGAGGAAACAACCUUUGCCUUCAGCGCACUAGAUCUUCCAUAGUUUAGUCUAUAGAGAUCUCUCUUCUCAGCUUGUUGGAAUUCGUGAGUAUUGAGUCUCUCAAGAAUAUCAGCACGAUCUAGUAACUUGUAGUCUCUUCACUCUCGAAUCAUCAGAAUCAGUGUAUUGAAUGAAGAAUCAAGAGAUCUCAGCACUUUUUUCACCACCUCAAGGUUGGUGAUGUAUUUGACCCCAAGAGCCUGUAGCUGAUUGGAGAUAUGAGUGAGGCGAUCGAAGGUUUGCUGAUAACUCUCACUAUCUAGUCUUUUGAAGCGGUUGAAGAGAUUGCGAAGAACAUCAACCCGACAGUCACAUUGAGUAGACACUCCUUCGUUGACCUUGGACAACCUGUCUUAGAUGAGCUUUGCAGAUGCCAAAGCACUCACUCUGCCAUACUGACCUUUGCGCAGAUGGCCACGGAUUAUAUUAUUUGCUUGAGAGUCGAGUUGCUUGAAUCUCUUCACAUCAACAACGUUGAUAGUUGGGGUGACAGAGGGAACACCAUUUUCAACAACAUACCAGAGAUCGUUUUCAAUCGCUUCAAGAUGCAUGCGCAUCUUGUUCUUCCAUUAGGGGUAGUCCGUCCAUUCAAUGGUAGGACAUUCCGACGUGACCUUGAUCAUACCUAUAGUCGACAUAACUAAAACUCCACAUGUUUAAACCAAAAUCACAUAGAACAAGGGAGUACCUUGAUAUGAUACCAAUUGAAAGUGCAUUAUAUCGACUAAGAGGGGGGUGAAUAGGCGAUUUUUAUGAAUUAGUCACCGAGGAAAAAAUUUUGUGAGCAAAUUGCUCUAAUAUGAACAACGAGGAGUGGAUUAAGUACUCACACGAGCGUGCAACACAUCAACAACAUAGUCUUCGUGAUGAAAUGAAGCAGAGAAUUGACACAAGUAGCGUGUUCAAGAUACGCAGGUGAAGAACAGGAUAAGUGAAGAAUUUGGGGUGAGGAAAUUGUGGAAGUAUUCAGUCAAAUUAUUCUAAUAGUAACAAUCAAUUUCAUCAAAACAUAAAUGAGGAAAUAGUAUGGUUGAGGAAAUAGAACCUUGUACUCGGUGAAGACAAUGAUUUGUUGACCCAGUUCCAACUAUUGUGACAGUGGUACGUCUAGUUUGGAGUGACUUGGUAUUUAAAUCAAAGGACAUACAGUACCAACACUUGUGGUAAGUGUUCAUGGGGGUCUUCCAAACCCUCACAAACUUGGUCACCCGACGAUCCACAAUUUACUACUAGAUGCUCUAGAAAAGUGACACCUAACUGUCUGGAAGAUACACAGUCUUCAAAGGUAACAAGCAUCGGUUCCAACCAGGAACAAUAUCUUCAGUGAUGCUCAAUCACUUUGUGUUUUUGGGUUUUGGUUUGGGUGUUUGGGGUUUUUCCUCACUGAUGAUUUUCUCUCAAAGUCUUCGCGGAAUGGGUUGCUCUCAAAUGAGAAGUGUUUGUUUCUCUUGCGGAGGAGCCAACCAGCUUGUGGUUAUGGGGGGGCUAUUUAUAGAGUGGGAGCAAUGCCGAAAUGAUUUUACAUAAAUGCCCCAAUGAUAUGACUGAUAUGUGCAUAAGGUUGGGGACCGUUGGCAUAGAGUGAGCAACGUUCAGAACUUUCUAGUCGCGAAAGUCCUCAUGUCUCCCUUAUUUCUCACUUGUAGGUAAUUCGGAUUGACGAAAUCCUAAGUUCUCAGUUAAAGAAGUUUCCUUAGAGAUCAGAAGAUAUUUAUCUCUAUCACUCAAGAAAUUGACUAAACUAUAAAAUAUUUCCAAAAGCUUCACUCGAAGGAUUGGGUAUGUGUAGGCUUUGAGAUGAGCAUCACUUGGACACUUUUCCUUAGUUUUACCUCGACCCCCACUAAUAGUACAAUGGCCCUAUGACUCAAAAGAAAGGAAAUUAAAAUACAAAACAAAAGUAUUCACGCUUCAAAGUCCUCGCAUCAAUUUCUUCAUGAACAUACCAAUUUCCUCGCUUUCAAAGUCUUCGAGGAAUUACCAAAGUCUUCAGCCUGCGAUAUCCAUUUUUAGGGGUCGAUAUUCUUCGAAUCACUCAAAGUACUGAGCUACUUAUAGAGCAUGUGUACGCUCACAAACACAUUAGUUUCUUAACCUAUAAGUCUUCAAUACACCAAAAUCACUAAGGGGAACUUGCUGCACUGACAAGAUGAUUUUUUCUUAUCAAACAUCACUAAGGCAUAUAAAUUAAUCCGGUUUGAAGUCCAGAACCUUUUUGCAUCUCAUUGUUGCUAAGUCAUAAGGGUAUUCACCUAUGAGGAAUUGCGCUUAGCAAAAAGAUCGUCCUUGUUGAAUAUGACCCUCUUCAUGCCUUUGUAGGGUUGUGAUGGAUUUGGCUGAAGAUUUGGCUUGAAUAUCAUCAUAGUUUCCCUUGGCAUAGUUUUAAACUAAGGAAUUUGCACAACAGGUUCCUCAAUAGUAGUCUGCGUGUGGAUUUUUUCAGCUGAUGCAGGUCGAUUUUCUUCACGAAUGGAUUUGAGGGGAGUAGCACGCCCUUAAGAUCCAGUUAGUAUUUAUUCAGUCUCAUCACGAGACUAAGGAAUUUGAGUGAGAGGAGUGAUGAUUGGCGAAUUUGGGUAUGUUGCUUCCCAAUAUUCAUCAUUGAUCAGUGGAGGUGUAGAGGCGAUACCCACAUCCUAUUCAUCAUUGAUUAGUGGUUGUUCUUCAGGCGCAACACUCAAAGUUCCCCUAGCAAUUUCUUCAGGAGCAUGAAUUUCUUCAGCUACCCCAAAAGUUUCUUCGGCACGCACAACAAAUGAGCUGGCGUGAGGAAUUUUUUGUUGCGAUUGUGCUGCAACCCUUGAAUUGUGAUUAUUGAUAGGUGAAAUUGCCUUGUUAACGAAUCCGACCUUUAGUCCUUUCCAAUCAGUAUAGUAUCUAUCAAAUUUCUCAGUGUGACCCUUCAUUUCUACUUGCAUUGCUACCAGUUCUUAAGAGGACAGGAUUAGGAUGUUGUUCAUAAGAAUUGUUUCUUUCUUAUAUUGUGACUUUUUGAUUCUGUGAGCCAUUUCAUAUUUCCAUUUUUCUUCAACCAUGGAAGCCGUUAGAACGUGACUCGUACCAGCUGUCAGAUCCAAGUCGUUAAUAGGUGUUUUUGGAUCCUUGUGGCAUAUGUCAAUGAAGCCUAGCACAUCCUUUGGAUCUAGAAGAAGAGGGAUUUGAGUACCCCUUUCAUGAGAAACUCUGUGUUGCUUGUUUUUGAUGAAUUCAAGUUCUUCAUCAUGCUUAGAUUCUGAGGGAAUUUUGAAGAAAACCUGCUUCUUAUGUGGACUUGGUCUUUGACCAUGUCCAGUAGUCAUUUUAGUCUUCAGGGAAAUGCCACUUGAAGAAGUGUGAGGACUUUCUCAAGCAGAUACAAAUGCAGAUGCCCCUGAGGUAAUUGAAAAGAUGGUCGUCUGCUGACACAUUGCAAGAUGCACUUGCAUUGAAGCUUUUGUGGCAGCGACUGAAGAUGUGGCAGCAACAGAGGGCACUAGCCCUUCUCUUGUUGAAGUUUCUUGAGGAAUUUGCUGUGAGGACUUUGCUAUUGAGGGUUCUGGCCAUGAGGGCAUUGAGCUUGAAGACUUCUGCUUGACAACAAAAUUCUUUGAUAUUUCCUUAUUUGGCACAUUGCCACUCGUAGUAGCCUAGCAACAACAUCUUGAGAGUCCUCAUUCAUUUUCCUCACUAGUUUAGUGGAUUGCCUCUACAGUUUGGCUUGAUGCUUUGCCAUUCUUGAGGAAAUUCCUCACCACGCGUGAUGCUAGUGGGAUCAACUAUUUUCUCUUCAUCGAAUGGUGGUCUUUGGAAUGGAGGAUUAAGUGCAAAUUUCUUCAUGUACUUUGGAGUAACAUAUUUGUAUGCCCUCCAUUCCUUCGCCCAUCCCCUCUCAAUCUUUUGAAGUCUUGUUUUGCGCUGCUUUUGGGUUUCUUUGUCGUGAGUGACUUCAUCUGGUGUGCAAUAUUCAUCAUAUAUCUCCUCAUUUAUUUGAAAGGCAGUGUGCACUUAUGGCUUCUUUCCUCCUUUCUAAGGUAUUUACCACUAGCCAUUUUCUUCAGUUGAUGACUUUGUACUUUUGAGGAUCGUGAUGAAGUAUGCAUUUUUUGUUCGAGGAACACUGCCAAUGAGUGAAUUUGAUGAGAACUUAGAGAUUCAUCAACACACAUUUGUACACAUUAACAUAGUAUAGGCGUGAAGAAUUUGAAGAAGUCAUAUGCAUUCUCAGAUUUUUUUUCAAAAGAAUACAAAUUGAGGAAUUUGACAACACUAGUCUUGAGGAUUUUCAGUAAGUGUUUUUUUCUAAGGUUCCAUAUUUUUCCAGAUUUGACAAUUCACACAAUUGAGGAAUCUUGAAGAAAAUCACAAUUUAGUGAAGAAACACAAGACAAAGUAGAUUGGAAGUGUUUUGUGGAAUGGAUUGUUGAAGAAUAAACACCAUUUGAUGAUUUUGUGGAAAUCAUAGGGAUCAAAAUUGGGAAGUAAAAUUAGAUUUUAAUUACCCUUUAUGAACACGACGAACUAGGAGUUUGAAUGGAGAAGUUCGUGUGUCCAGAUCUCCCGCGCCCUAACUUGGUGGUGGAAGACAGAUACGGCGGAGAUGGAGUGAAGAUUUCCGCGUCGAUGCAAGUAUGACGGCGAGGAGGUCGAGGCAGUGAAGCUCUUACUCUCCAGUGACGAUGAAGCUUAGCUCCGGUGCUGGGUCUGAGCUUAGGACCGAUGGGGAAGUGUAGAUUAAUUGUGACUAGUGAAAGGGAGUGGGGUAUUUAUAAAGGGAGUGAAAAAUGAACAUCCGAACAAUUUGGACAUCCAUAUCACUAGCCCUUGCUAUCGUACUGACAUGUGUCACCACGUACUCGGAAGUGGAGAUAGUGGGGUAUCAUGGGUUAAUUCCAGUGAUGAGAAGUGGGAUAGGAUUGAGCGGUUAUCGCCAAAAAAUUAAUAUGAAAAUUUUAAAGUUUUGUUCGCAAAUUAUUUAGCUUACAAGGACCUUGUGAAGACUUUUUAUGAGUUUCAAAUAGAACACAUAUGAAUAAUAUGUGAACAAAUAGAAAAAUGUUACUUCGUGUGUUGCACAUCUAAGUCAUCAAUUUCGCACAAGUGUUAUGAUGUUUGUCCUUCAAAAGAACAUUCAAAGAUUCUAAGAUAUUUAGCUUGCACCACAAGUUGCAAAAUCUCUUUUCAUCCAAGGGAUUAGUGAAGGUAUCAGACAGUUGUUCAUCAGUCUUCAUGUGGUUGAUGAAGAUGUCACCCUUUAGCACAUGAUCACAAAGAAAAUGACGAUGAAUCAACAUGUGCUUCGUCUUCGAGUGCUGAACUGGGUUGUGAGCAAUAUUGAGAGCUAAAAGUGUGAUAUGUCGACUAGAGAGGGGUGAAUAGGUGAUUUUUACAAAUUCAUCACUUAGGAAAUUCCUAGUGACGAAAGUCCUCAGUCAUGAACAAAGUGCGGAGGAAUAAGUACUCAAAUAGAUGUGCAAAAGUGGCUAUAGCUUAGUCCUCAGAGUGCAGUGAAACUUUCGGGUUGCACAGGUCGCCUGAUCAGGAUAAGCACGUGAUGAAUAACUUAAGUGAAGAAUUUGAGGUGAGGAUUUAGGGAAUGUCUUCAGUCAAGUUCUUCAAACAGUAAAGAUCAAAGUCAUCAACAUACAAUUCAGAAAGUGAAAGAGUUGAGGAAUUACAACCCGUAGCUCGAUGAAUACAAUGGUUUGAUGACCUAGUUCCAACUGUUGUGACAGUCGUAUGUCUCGUUUGGAGCGGCUUGUUAUUCAAACCAAAGUACACAGAGUCUCGGGACGCACAGUCCCUACCGUUUUCUCCUUGAGCUAAGGACACAUAGUCCUCGCCCAACACUCGUGGUAAGUCUUCAGGGUAGACAUCUAAACCCUCGCAAACUCGGUCACCCGAAGAUCCACUAUUUACUCUUUGAUGCACUAGACCAUGAUGCCUAACCGUCUGGAGGAUGCACAGUCCUUAAAGGUAACAAGCAAAGACUCCACACACGAACAAUCUCUUCAGUGAUGCUCAAUCACUUUCGGGUUUUUGGGGCUUGGUUUGGGUGUUUGGGGUUUUUCCUCACUUGAUAAUUUUCGCUCAAAGUCCUCGAGGAAUGGGUUGCUCUAAAUGACCAAUGUUAGUUUCUCUCGGAGUAGCUAGCCAACUAGUGGUUGUGGGGGGGGGGCCUAUUUGUAGCCUUGGAGCAUCCCAACAUGAUUUGACAUUAAUGCCCCCAAUGAUAUGACCAUUGGGUGGAUAAGAUUGGGGAAAGGUGGAGCGCAGCGCGGCAACAGUCAGAUCUUUCAAUUGUGAAAGUCCUCAUGUCUCUCAUGUUCCUCACUGAUAGGCAGUUCGCACUGGCAAAAUCCUAACUCCUAAGUUAGUAUAAUUUCUUCACCGACCAGAAGAACUUCAUCUCUGUCACUGAAGACAUUGACUAAGCUGUGAGAGAUUUUCAAAGGAUUCACUUGAACGAUUUGGUAUGUGUAGGUUUUUAGAUGAGCAGCAUGAGGAAACUUUUCCUUAGUAUUACCUCAACCCCCUUUAACACUACGGUGUUCCUAUGACUCAAUAAAGAAGAAAAUGAAACAUAAAGAGAAAAUCUUCAAGCUUCAAAAUCUUCAGAGCAUUUUCUUCAGGAUACACCAAAUUCCUCAUUUUCAAAUUCUUCAUGAGGAAUAGCAAUUUCUUCGCUAUCAAAGUCUUCAAGGAAUGACCAAAGUCUUCACCCGAAGACAUACAUUUUGAGGUGUCGAUAUUUUUGAAUAACUCAAACUCCUGAUCGUCUUAUAGUGUAUGUGUACAGUCACACACAUAUUAGUCUCUUAACCUAUAAGUCUUUAAUGAACCAAUAUCACUAAGGGGCACUAGAUGCACUUACAAUAGCACUCACUUUGUCGUAGUAGAGAGGAAUUAUUCACGUUGAUGCCGUAGUCCUUGAAGGUUUGCUUCAUCCAUAACAAUUGAGCACAACAAGAACCAACAACAAUGUACUCAGCUUCAAUGGUAGAUAGUGACAAUAGUUCUGCUUCUUCGAGGACCAACACACUAAGGAUCGUCCGAGGAAAUGGCAUGUGCUGAUGUUGAAUUGCGGUCCACGCGAUCACCAACAUAGUCAGAGUCAUAAUUUCUAACAAGAUGAAGAUUCGAGCCCUUGGGAUAGCAUAAUCCAAGUGUUGGUGUGUGAGCUAGAUAUCGAAGAGUAUGCUUCACAGCCUUAUGGUCUGAUUCCUUCGAUAUUGCUUGGAAACAGGCACACAUGAAAACACUAAGCAUAAUAUCUCGCCUAAAUUCUUCUAAAGAGCCAAUAAUGGAGUGAUAUACCUUUUGAUCGACAUAUUUACCAUUUUCAUCACUGCAGAGGUGGCUGCUUGUGGGCAUAGGAGUCUUGGCACCUUUGCACUCUUGCAUGUUGAAUUUCUUCAGGACAUCCUUGAGGUAUUUCUCUUGAGAUAUGAAGAUGCCAUUGUGUUGUUGAAGAAUUUGAAGACCUAAGAAGAAUUUCAACUCCCCCAUCAUGGACAUUUCAUAUUCUUCACUCAUCAUGUAGCUAAAUUCAUCUCUGUAACGUUUGUCAGUACAACCAAAGAUGAUAUCAUCCACAUAUAUUUGGCAUGUGGAUAAUUCAUUAUCAUAGGAUUUUGUGAAACGAGUUGGGUUGAGUGAACCAGGUUUGAAGCCUUUCUUCAUGAGGAAUUCCUUGAGAGUAUCAUAUCACGUCCGAGGGGCGUUCUAGAGGCCAUAGAGGGCCUUGUUGAGUUUGAAGACUUUGUGGGGAUGCUUAGGAUCUUCGAAACCUCGGGGCUCAACAACAUAUAUUUCUUCCUCAAGCUUACCAUUGAGAAAUGCAUUUUUCACAUCCAUUUGAUAUAAUAUGAUAUUAUGAUGGUUAACAUAAGAAAGAAAUAUACGAAUAGCUUCAAGUCUAGCAACAAGUGAAAAGGUUUCAUCAAACUUAACUCCCUCAACCUGUGUGUAGUACUUUUCUACAAGACGAGCUUUAUUCCUCACCACUUGACCAUUUUAUCUUGCUUAUUACGGUAGAUCCACUUGGUAUCGAUGAUGUUGUGCUUGCGAGGAUUAGGUAGCUUGACAAGCUCCCACACAUUGUUAAGCUUGAACAUGCAAUUCCUCUUGCAUAGCUUGAAUCCAAUCAGGCUCCAUAAAUGCUUCAUCAACUUUGGCAGGGUAUGUGAUAGAGACGAAAGCAAGGUACCCACAAAAGUUAUUCCAAUGUGAAGCUUUUGACAAUGUGAGGGGAUUUGGUGCAUUUAUGUCAUCGAGGAUUUUGUCAAUCCACACUUCAGUAGCCACUCUCGGAUGAGGAGGUUGACGACUUUGUUGGGGCUGAGGAUUUUCUUCAACGCCAUUUUUCUUAGGAGCACCAGCAUUUAUUUCUUCAUUGUUUGCGAUGAAUUCCAGAUCAGUUCUUCAGUGGGUAUGAUAUCUUCAAUAGCCUUGAACCUAAUGUAUUCCUGAGGACGCAUUUCAUCCUGCACAGGAGGCAAGUGCUCUCUUUGCGAGCCGAUAGUUUCAUCGAACCGCACAUCUACAAUUUCAAAAACCUUGUUGUGGUAGGUGUUGAAGACUCUGUAGGUGUGCAAGUCCUUUUCGUAACCAAGCAUAAAACCUUCAAGUGCUUUCGUUCCAAAUUUAGAAUUUUUGCGAGGAUCUCUAAUCCAGCAUUUUGCAACGAGACUUUGAAAUAACUCACAUUGGGUUUCUUGUCACCAAGGAGUUCAUAUCAAGUCUUCUUGAGGAAUUUGUGAAGAUAUAUUGAAAGUGCGCUAUAUCGACCUGAGGGGGGUGAAUAGGCAAUUUUUACAAUUUCAUCACUAAGGAAAUUCCUAGUGAGGAAAGUCCUCAUUUAUGAACUGAGUGCAGCGUAAAUAGAACCAGAUCAGGAAUGCAAAAACGUCUACUUCAAAGUACUUAGUCAGAUUUUAGAGAUACGGUUUUCAGAGGUCACAAGUAUAGGAUAAGCAGGUGAAGAUAAAAUUAGGUGAAGAAUUUGAAGUUGAGGAAAUUCAAAGAAAGUCUUCAGUCAAAAUCUUCAAACAAUACAAUGAAAGUCUUCAACAUACAAUUGAGGAGACGAGAUAGUUGAAGAAAUAGAACCAGUAGCUCGAUGAAGACAGUUGUUGAUGACCCUGUUCCAACUACUGUGAAAGUUGUACGUCUCGUUUGGAGCGGCUUGGUAUUGAAACCAAAGUGUUGGGUUACACCUAUGGGAACCUCCUAGGAUCCCUUGAUCGUUCGGUAGGGAGAUGGGUGGCGCCAAGAGGAGAGCUAGCAAUCAACACCGGGAACGUUUUUACCCAGGUUCGGGCCGCUUAGUGCGUAAAACCCUACUCCUGCUUUUUUUGUUUUAUUAGGUAUCUGUUGUAGGAUUACUUGCUAUAGUGAGUGCCUGCUGACCAAUUCCCAAAGUGUCUAACCUCUUAGAACUGAGCCUUGGGCCUCCUUUUAUAGGCAAAGUGGUCACCAACAAUACUCAACAGUGGGUUCACGAGCUAUACAUUGAACAUGGUUCAUUGUUAUCCAUCUACCGCGGUGUCAGGGAAAGUAAAUGCUUCGUCAGUCUCCUGACCUGCCUCAGGAUGGUAUCGACACGUACCCAGGUGUUUCAACACUUGGUUGUUGUGCUGGCGCAUGAGGGAUGCACCGGCGUUGUGGUAGUCGGUGGCACUAUGGUAGGAGGGAACACCUGGCGGGAGAAAGGGGGCUUGCCGAGCUGGUGCCCUCUCAAGUGGCCUAGUCUGCCUUCCCGACAAGGAAGGAUUGCCGGGGCCUUGUCAAUCUUCCUGGCAAGGAGGACUUGCCGGGGCCUUGGAUGUCUUCCCGGCAAGAAAGGCUUGUCGGGGCCUUGGAUAUCUUCCUGGCAAGAAAGGCUUGUCGGGGCCUUGUAGCUUAGAUUUAUUCCUCACACCCUUGGAGUGGUGUGGCCCUGGUGAGCUUGGGGAUUCAAUCUUCCUACCAGACUUCGUCGUGCCUUGCCGUGAAAGGGGUUGUAGGCACCCAUGAACAAGUCUGUGGCACAUAAGACCCCAGUCUUCAGUCCACCGAAGCCCCCGGGCCUGGGCCACACACGCGUGCGAGGCGUUGUUGGGCCGAUCCAAAAGUGGUGCACGGGCCUCUAUGACAGGGUAUCUUGUAGGCUGGAGCUGUUGCUAAUGGUGUUUCCCCACAUCAUGCAUUGAACACACGAACUGGAGAGGCUUGCGCACAGUGGCCGUUCCACCUCCCGAAGUAUUUCCUCCAUGUGCGAGGCAUGCGUAGUAAUGGUCAGGCAAGUGGCGGUCGUGGCCUUAAAAGUCGCAACCAUGGCAGGGCCCGCCCUUGCAUGCAUUGGUGCAGCACGGCAGCUCCUUGUUCGCCCUUGACCAUGGGCGAUUGGACGAGAGGGGUGGUGGUCACUUGAGUGAGGAGGGCUAACCCCCGUGCCUUGCCUUAUAAAUUAGGGGGUUUGGGAGGGGGUUUUGCUCAUCCAUCCAACACCUGAAACGCGUAGCACCCCCAUCCUGUUCUGCAGUAUCUUCUUUAGCUUCAGGUGGCGCUCGCCCUUAAUCAUGGUUCAGGGACGAGGGUGGCCACCAUCAGUCGCUAGAGUUGCGAGGGGAUCCUGUUCGGAUCAUGCCACAACAUCAGGAGCCGCAACUGCGGAGGAUGGCUAGAGCGCCUGAGGUGGCGGAGCGGCGAGGGGCCGUGUUCACCGCGGAGGCCGUGGCUGGGGAAGGUGGGAUGCUACUCCAGCACCCCCGCCUUUGCCGAGGCUCGUCCCUACAGGGACUCAUGUUGAAAGGACUCUGUUGGAGUUCCUUGUCAAGCUGCGAGGCUGCAUCAGGAUCCGGCUUCAACUCCCAAGCGCCUUCGCCAAGGCGAUGGAGAAUGAGAAGCUCCCGAUGCUAUGGCUCCGGGUGCAUGGCUGCGGCAAUGGCGCCAUACUAGUGGCCGUGGAGCAACCGGGGCCUCAGCCCCUGUUCCUUGGCCAUGGGUGGAAGAGCUUCGCUCGCGCCCACAAUAUCUGGGAUGGGCACGUUCUCCGCUUCAAGAUGAUGGCGGACAACCUGCUCUCCGUCAAGCUAUAUGGGAGCUCAGGUGCAUGCCUCAGCUGUUGCGAAGAGAGCGUGAGCAGUACUGAAAGCCCUUCCUCGCGUGGGAGCGACGAGGAAGGGACAGAUGGAACAACAGCAGGUACGGGUCAGACCCUCGGCACGCUAAGCCUGGGUACGAGGAUCUGACCUCGGAGUAACUGCCGGCCGCACCUUCACAGUUAGUCCGCGGCUCUCCUCCUCUCGAGUUGGGACCGAUGCGCCGGAAGAACCGAUGCUGCCCCAUAUUCCUGGCAGCGCCUGGUUCCUAGCUCCGACAUCCCUUUUGGCCCCGUUCUCCUAUGCACAUUGCUGGUCUAGGAGGAAAUAGCCUGGGUUGCGCCGCGGUCCUAGCUAUUUUUUGUCUUCUUGAACUCGUGUCCGACAAGCAUUGUCCCUCACCAAAGACAGUAUCAUAGGUUAGAGUAGUAAAAUUCAUCCAUGUAAUAUGUCUGAGUUUGACUCAAACAAAUGAACGAAAUAUUGUUUCCCUUUUGUCUGAUCCCCCUUUUUGUAUGAUACAUCCUUUGCGUUUUCCAUAAGCUCGCCGGCUUGACUGGUCCUGCCGCCAGUUCUUUGAGGAACGGGUCCUUAGCAGUUCAUCGGAGGGGUCAUUACUGGAAAGACUCCUUGCCGCACUCAGUACAACCGUUUAAAUCGUCGAGCGCGUCUCGAGGCAAAAUAAGGUGCUGCGUAGCCGCUUUAUUUGUUGAGCAAGUUCAAAAUAGUGUGAAGGCGCUCUGUGGCCGUUCAGGUCAUUGAACGAGUUCCAAACAGAACCAAGGUGCACUAAUCCUAGAAAGGUUCCUCUGCGCGCAGGUUUCUCAUAAAAAGAUCGGGAUAUCUAGAAGGGAAACAAUAUAUCUACUCAAAAUUCUCAUCUAGAGUUUUUGUCAGUUAUCUAUCGUGUCGGGGCGUCUGAAUAUUUUGUCGGGGCCUCAGAUCCCCGGCAAGCCGGAUGUUACACCCCCGUGGCAACCUCCAUGUCGGCAAGGUUCUUGCCAAUAGUCUUUGACCAUCGCGUAGGAAAUGGGUUUUCCGGGAUUUAACAUUUUUUUCUCUUUUGCCAGGCCGUGCUGAUGGAGCCCCUGAGCACAUAUUUGGAGGCAACGCGACACUUCCAGGGGAGAAAACAUUUUCGCUGUAGUGCGUGCCGGGCUUCGGGACCUGUUGGCGCAUCCUCGACGGCUAUGCAUCACUCCGCAGAGGUGCGUCCGCCGGAGUAUGCGCCGAAGGCCUCGCCGAAGCUCCCAGGCACACCCUCAACAACAACGUACUGUCCUGGAGCAGCGCAUCAUCCUGAUGGCAUCAGACUUAGGGUCUCCGCCUCCCCGGCAUGCGCUUGCGCAGCAGCGCGCCCGCGCAGGCACUAGGAGGCCAUAGCAGAGUGGAACGACCAUCACUAUGUCCCGCUUCGGGGAACUGCGGCGGUGCACUCAACUUCUAAAAAUACGGCGCAGAGCUUGCUUAGAUUAGCGCAAAUGCUAUCAUCCCCCUAACUGGCGCACCAAAGAUGUCAGGUGAUACCUAUGGGAACCUCCUCGGAUCCCUUGAUCGUUCGGUGGGGAGAAGGGUGGCGCCAAGAGCACAGCUAGUGAUCAGCACCAGGUACAUUUUUACCCAGGUUCGGGCCGCUUAGUGCGUAAAAGCCUACUUCUGCUUUGUUUAUUGUAUUAGGUGUUUGUUGUCGGGUUACUUGCUACAGUGAUUUCUUGCUGUCCAAUGCCCAAACUAUGUAACCUAUUAUAACUGAGCCUUGGGCCUCCUUUUAUAGGUAAAGGGGUCACCAACAGUGCUGAGCAGUGGGUUCACGAGAUAUAUAGUGAACAUGGUUCAUUGUUAUCCAUCUACCGCAGUGUCAGGGACAGUAAAUGCUUUGUUAGUCUCCUGACCUGCCUGAGGAUGGUAUCGACAUGUACCCAGGUGUUUCUACACCUGGGUGUUGUGCUGGCGCAUAAGGGAUGCGCUGGCGCUAUGGUAGCAGCUGGCACUGUGGCAGGAGGGAACACUUGGAGGGCGAAAGGGGGCUUGCCGAGUUGGGGCCCUCGCCAAUGGCCUAGUGUGCUGUCGGGACCCCGAUCCUAAGCCAUAAGAAUCCAGCCUGUAACACAUCGCAUCCCUUUGCGGUCUCACGCACGGUUAACCCCACGGCUGCCACCUUACCUUAGCCUGGACCGUUUGCGCCUUUUGACUCACGUAUGCAUUUGUGUCGCUAGCAUUCCAAUGUCAAAGAACCCGGGUCGACAUAACUAGUCAUAAACUCAAGUGCCUCAGCUGUACAGAGACAGGCAUACGUAACCCAGCAAAGCAGGUGUCGGUCAUCAGCGCGUGUAGACGAGUCAUAGCAAGCUACAAGGACUCCAUUACACCGGUGACAUUACCCAUGUCACACCCUGUUUUUGCUAUGACUUGUCUGUAUGCUGAAAUUCUAAGCUUGUUAAAACUUUUUCAAACUUAAUAAUGUGAGUGCCAUGUGUAAGUGCAUCUAGUGCCCCUUAGUGAUUUUGGUGGUUUGAAGACUUAUAGGUUAAGUAUCUAAUGUGUUUGUGAGUAUAGACAUGAUCUAUAAGUCAUUGAGGAGUUUGAGAUAUUUGAAGAAUAUCGACCCCUAAAAAUGUAUAUCUUCAGUUGAAGAAAUUGGUCUGAAGCAGAAGAAAUGAAUCACGAGGAAUCUGCAAUGAAAUUGAUAUUCCUCAUGAAGAUACUGAUGUUGAGAAGACCGGUGGUUCCUGAAGAAAUUCAUUCUAAAGAAAUUGAAGCGUGAAGAUUUACGUUUUCUGUUUUACUUUCUUCGCAUUUGAUGAAUAGGAACACUGUACUAUUAAAGGGGGUCAAAGUAACACUAUGGAAUGGAUUUCCUCAUGAUUCUCAACCCAAGCCUAAUCCUACCAAAAGCCUCAAGUGAGGAAUAUGAGUGACAUGAGGACUCUCACAGUUGAGGGUCCCGACCGUUUCGAUAACCACGCCAAGUCACUGGUCUUAUCCACUCCAGCGGUCAUAUUAUUUAAGGGCAUUAGUGUCAAAUCAUGUCGGGAUGCUCCCAGGCUAUAAAUAGCCACCCCCCACAACCACUAGCUGGUUGGCUGCUCCAUUAGAAACUGACACUUGUCAUAAGAGCAACCCAAAUUCCUCAGAGCCUUCGAGAGUAAUUCAUCUGUGAGGAAAUACACCACCCACCGAAACCACAAACCAAAACUAGUGUGGGAUUGAAGCCUUUUACCUUUGAGGAAUGUGCAUCCUCCAGACGGUUAGGCAUCAUGGUCUAGAGCAAUCGAGCAGUCAAUUGUGGAUCGCCGGGUGACCGAGUUUGUGAGGGUUUGGAAGUCUGCCCUGAAGACUUACCACGAGUGUUGGGGAGGACUGUUUGUCCUUAGCUCAAGGAGAAUAUGGUAGGGACUGUGUGUCCCGGGACUGGGUAUUCUUUGGUUUCAAUACCAAGCCACUCCAAACCAGAUGUAUAACUGUCACAUCAGUUGGAACUGGGUCAUCAACGACUGUCUUCUCUAAGAAUCGGGUUCUAAUUCCUCAACUCUUUACUUUCUCUGUAUUAUGUGUUGAUGACUUUCACUGUGAUUGUUUGAAGAAUUUGCUGAAGACUUUCUCUGAAUUUCCUCAACCCCAAAUUCUUCACAAUGGUUAAUCAUCAUCUGUAUUCUGCGUGCGUGCUUACUGUGCAAUCUGUCUUCACAUUCUUCACUCUGAAAUACUGCUGGUGUGAACGUUUGCACGUCUGAUCCUUUACUGUUUCCGCUGAAAGUUAGUCAUCAGUGAGGAAUUUCCUCAAAAGGAAUUUCCUCAGUGAUGAAAUUCUAAAAAUCUCCUAUUCACCCCCCUCUAGUCGAUAUAACGCACUUUCAAUUGGUACCAGAGCAAGGUACUCCCUUGUUCUGUGUGAUUUUGGUUUAACCACCUGGAGUUUUAGUUAUGUCGACUACAGGCAUGUUCAAGGUGACUGCAGCAUGUCCUACCUAUGAAGGGAAGAACUUUCCCUUCUGGAAGAACAAAAUGCAAAUGCAUCUACAAGCUAUUGAUAGUGAUCUCUGGUAUACUGUGGAGAAUGGCGUCCCCAUCAUUUCUGCCAGUGUCACUUCAGCUGAUGUGAAGAAGUUCAAGCAACUUGAUUCUCAAGCGAAGAACAUCAUCUGUGGCCAUCUGAGCCCUGGCCAGUUUCGAAGAGUAAGUGCUUUGGGCUCUGCAACACUGAUCUGGGAGAGACUGUGCAAGGUAAAUGAAGGAGUAUCAACCCAGCGUGACUCUCGUGUUGAUAUUAUUCGCAAUCUCUUCAAUCGCUUCAAGAGACAUGACUAUGAAUGCUGCCAAGACACCUUUGAUCGCCUCACUGACAUAUCAAAUGAACUGCAAGCACUGGGAGCUCGAGACAUCACUCAUCACGAUGUUGUGAAGAAACUGCUGAGAUCCUUGGAUUCUUCAUUUGACACUCUAGUUCUGAUGAUUCAAGAAAGACCAGACUACAAGAUGCUGGAUCCAGCUGAUAUCCUUCAAAGGAUAAAUACUCAUGAAUUCCAGCUAGAAGAAAAGAGAGAUCUAUAUGGACAAAGCUAUUCCAGACCACGUGCACUGAAGGCUAGAGCAAUUUCCUCAUCUGAAGAAGAAGACACAUAUGACAGCACUGGUGACCCNNNNNNNNNNNNNNNNNNNNNNNNNNNNNNNNNNNNNNNNNNNNNNNNNNNNNNNNNNNNNNNNNNNNNNNNNNNNNNNNNNNNNNNNNNNNNNNNNNNNCAAGGUUAGGUCAUGCAAAGGAAGUGGGUUCAACUAACGUGGCAAAAGCAGUUGAAGCAUUUGAUCCUAAUGCAAUAAAUAAGGGCAGGAGCAAGAACAUGGGAAUUAUCGGGAUGAUCAAAAGGCUGGCUUGCCUUGUUGCUCAGNNNNNNNNNNNNNNNNNNNNNNNNNNNNNNNNNNNNNNNNNNNNNNNNNNNNNNNNNNNNNNNNNNNNNNNNNNNNNNNNNNNNNNNNNNNNNNNNNNNNNNNNNNNNNNNNNNNNNNNNNNNNNNNNNNNNNNNNNNNNNNNNNNNNNNNNNNNNNNNNNNNNNNNNNNNNNNNNNNNNNNNNNNNNNNNNNNNNNNNNNNNNNNNNNNNNNNNNNNNNNNNNNNNNNNNNNNNNNNNNNNNNNNNNNNNNNNNNNNNNNNNNNNNNNNNNNNNNNNNNNNNNNNNNNNNNNNNNNNNNNNNNNNNNNNNNNNNNNNNNNNNNNNNNNNNNNNNNNNNNNNNNNNNNNNNNNNNNNNNNNNNNNNNNNNNNNNNNNNNNNNNNNNNNNNNNNNNNNNNNNNNNNNNNNNNNNNNNNNNNNNNNNNNNNNNNNNNGUCAUUCAUAAUGAAAUUUUAAUAUUUUCCAAAUUACAUUUAUAAAGUAAUUAUAAGAAUUGAAUUAUUCAUUAUUCUACAUGUUAGGGUUCUGUAACUUUUUCAAACAUGAUUGAAAAUAGCAUAUUCAGAUUCCUUGAAUUUUUUGAUACUUUUUCAUAUAUAAAUUAUUUUCAUUGGAGUUACAGAUUAAUUUCUAUGAAUUUUUGAAGUUUUAAACAUUUCUGGAGUUAUUUUUAUACUCGAAAAUACUUUUAUUGCAUCAGCAUGACAUCAGCAGGUCCAUCUGGCCGUUGAAAGUCAAACCUCACCAGUGGGACCCACUGGUCAGUCUCUCUGGUCAAUUUUAGAUUAGGAUUAAUCUUAUUUAGUUAAUUAAACCCGCUGGACCCACAUGUCAGUGUCUUAUUAUUUUUACUGAUUUAUUUUUAUUAUUUCUAAUCUUGCCAGAGGCUGGCCCCACCAGUCAGUGGCUCAGGCCAGCCGAGAUCCACCGGCGGCGAGGUCGUCCUCGCCGGCGGGGAGUCUCCGGCGACCACCAGAACGACGGAGGGGCUCGGAAACGGCGCACAGGGGGCCAAACGUUGCGCGGAGAGCACCAGAAGAACGACACAUGUCCCGCAGCUCCAUUUCUGCACUUAGCCGGGGCUGAUCUGGCCGGAGAUGACGCCGGCGACGAGCUUGGCGACGGCCAAGGUUCGGGCGUCAUCGAGGUCAUCGAUACAGGGGGCACUAUGCACGGUUCUUAGCUCCUAUAACAUCUACGCGACGGCCUGAAGUUGCUGGUGCCCUCGGAAGGACGAGCUGAUCACCGGAGGGCUACUGGCGACGAGCUCCAGCGGCGGAUCUUGUCGGGCUCCGGUGAAACUCGGGCUAGAGGAGGGGAUCGACGGGGAGAUCUUAGGGGAAAUGACCGCAUGCUCACGGGGAGUGCAGUGGUGGUGCUAGUCUGCUCGGGGACGGCCUGGAGAGGGAGAACGUCGGCGGCGAUCUUCGGUGACCCGAGGAAGAAGACGACAGCUGCUCGUCGUUUCACUGCAUCUCGGCGUCGGGCUCGUGGCUAGGGAGCUUCAGGGGGAUGCGGCGGAGCUAAUGCGUGGCUCGGAAGGGAGAAGGGGUGGCUAGAUCGAUGGCGAGCUCGAGCUCUGCUCGGGCUCCAAUGGCGGCAGAAGGAGGGAGGAGAGAUCCGAGAGGAGGGGGGAUCUGGCGCUGGGAAUGGAUAGGGUCGGCCACGGGGAGCUUAUCCCCGUGCUUGCCAGCGCGAGGCGGCGGCCAGGCAGGCGCACAGGUGCGUGGCCGCGCCGGAGAAUGUGGCGGCCACCUCCUGCUGCCCACUGGCGGGGAGGAAGACGACAAGAGCUGAGAUGGGCCGGGCCAGGUGAGCGACAGGUAAGAGUUUUCCAUUUUUUUCUGUUUUUGUUUCUGUUUUAGCUACUUCAAUAAUUUGCUAUUUAUUUCAGCUCCCAAAUAAUUUGUAAAAUUUAUUUGAGGCACCCUAGAAUAUUUGUUGGAAUAUUUCCAACCAUUCCUAAAGUUUUCAACAUUUUUGAAAGUUUAAAGUUUCUGUUUUCAAAUUUAAAACUUGAAACCAGUAGCUUUUUGCAUUUAUUUAAAAUGCUUAAAGUGUCAAGAAAAUAGUUUUCUCCAAUGCUCAUUUACUUUCAUGAUUUAUGAGAAAGUUUGAACAUUUCUUGAGGCCAUUUUGGGUUCAUUGAUUUUAACUAGUUUGAGAUCUCCUUUAUUUAAAGUAGUGACUAGGGUUUUGAGUUUUCCUUCACCUCUUUCUUUGAUCUUGUUGAAAAUUCUUAGAUGCAAAUGCAAAGAAGACAUGAGCACAAGACUAACUUGCUUAAGGUGUGAGGGAUGUGACAAUCAAGGUCUAGAUAGAACCCACCUGUUGACUCGUGGGUUUCCUCUGCAACAUUUAUUAAAAAAACAUGAGCAAAAUCGUACUCAGCAACACUUUAGAACAGAUCUAUCUACUCAUGCACAUGUAUCAACAAAGGGGGUUGUGGGGUUUCAUGCAGCAAGCCAGCUUUGACUCUUGGCUAGAGUAAACUACAAUUUUGAAUAGUUUUAAACAACUUUGAGAAAUUGUACACGAGUCCACUACCACCACAACAAUACACUAUCAUGGAUUCCUUUCCGUCUCCUUACGGAAAUGCCAUACAUGAUACUCACACUUAUCUUGCUACUUUUAUGAGUAGCCAUUAAAGUUGUCUAUGAACAACAUAUGUCUCCAAGUAGUCCAUAUCCGCGGAUGCGGCUAUUCGAAUAGAUCAUAACCCUGCAGGGGUGUACUUCUUCACACAGGCUCUCGCCAGUUAUUGCCAUGUGCACGUCAUGCACCUAGGCAACCUUCAAGCGGAAGCCCAGCGAGGUAGUCGGCCACAACCGUUAACCAUGCUAAUACCUAGUCCAGGUUUAUCGCUUAUUUGAGAGUGAACCCGCACGGAAGUCAGGCCAAGGUUUCUGCCACGGCCCCAAACGAUGUGCGCAGGGUUCCCAAGCCCACCAUCCAGGUGCCACUUGGUACACCGUGCCACUGCCUACCGCGCCAUAGCCCACCUCUAAGGUCAGCACUAUGCACGACCUCCAGCAUGAUUAUAAACACCACAUACUACUUGCAACUCCUGGACCGAGUAUGAUACGUCUCCGUCGUAUCUACUUUUCCGAACUCUUUUGCCCUUGUUUUGAACUCUAACUUGCAUGAUUUCAAUGCAACUUACCCGGACUAACGUUGUUUUCAGCAGAAUUGCCAUGGUGUUGUUUUUGUGCAGAAGCCGACAGGCCUCGGCCACCCCCUGGCCGUGUCGUGAGGGCUUGUGGGGCCCACGCGGCUCUACCGCCCCCAAACUCAGCUCUAUAUCUUCCAUCUCGCCCGGAGAAAAAUCAAAGAGAAGGUUUCAUCGCAGUUUGUGAUACGGAGGCGCCGCCACAUCCUGUUCUUCAUGUGGAGGGCAGAUCUGGAGUCCGUUCUGGGCUCCGGAGAGGGGAAAUCGUCGCCAUCGUCAUCAUCAACCUUCUCCAUCGACAAUUCCAUGAUGCUCUUCACCGUUCAUGAGUAAUAUCAUCGUAGGCUUGCUGGACGGUGAUAAGUUGGAUGAGAUCUAUCAUGUAAUCGAGUUAGUUUUUGACGGGGAUUGAUCCGUAGUAUCCACUAUGUUCUAGAUUGAUGUUGCUACUACUUUGCCAUGCUUAAUGCUUGUCACUAGGGCCCGAGUCCCAUGAUUUCAGAUCUGAACCUAUUAUGUUGUCGCCAAUAUAUGUGUGUUUUAGAUCCUAUCUUGCAUGUUGAAGUCACCUACUAUGUGUUAUGACCCGGCAACCCCAGAGUGACAAUAGCCAGAACCACUCCCGGAGAUGACCAUAGUAUGAGGAGUUCAUGUAUUCACCGUGUGUUAAUGCGUUGCGUCGGUUCUUUAUCAAAAGGAGAACCUUCAUAUCCCGUAGUUUCCAUUAGGACCCCGCUGCCAUGGGAGGGAUGGACAAUAGAUGUCAUGCAAGUUCUUUUCCCUAAGCACGUAUGACUACAUACGGAAUACAUGCCUACAUUAGAUUGACGAACGGGAGCUAGUUACUUAUAUCUCCGUGUUAUAGCUGUUACACGAUGAAUCACAUCCGGCAUACUCAUCCAUCACCGAUCCACUGCCUACGAGUCUUUUACUACUGGUCCUUGCUACGUUACUUUGCCUAGGCUUGUCCCAUGCUACAAAAGGGAUUGGGCCACUUUGCUGCUACUAUUGUCACUUUGGUACUACUGUUGCUACUGCUGUUACUCUGCUGCUGCUGCCACUGUUGUUCCUUGCUACUUCGCUGUUACAUAUUGCAAGAUCUUUUCCAACACUGUUGUCAGGGAAGAAUAGUUACUCGUCCACGUGCAACCUUCUGGCGCCAUUGAUACAACAGUUAGGAAUAGUCUUCCUUGUCAACAGAUCGUUUCUGGCACCGUUGCUAUCAUACUACUUUGCUACUGAUACUUUGCUUGCAAACACUAAUCUUUCAGGUGUGGUUGAAUAUGACAAACUCAGCUGCUAAUACUUGAGAAUAUUCUUUCGCUUCUUCUUUGGCGAACCAACAAAUUUGGGUUGAAUACUCUACCCUCGAAAACUGUUACGAUCCCAUAGGCUUGUGGGUCAUCAAGGCUUUUUCUGGCGCCGUUGCCGGGGAGGCAUCAAGUCAGGAUUAGUUGUCCGUCAACAAGUCUUUUUCUGGCGCCGUUGUCGGGGAAGCACAACUAUAUUGUCUGAGUCACUUGGGAUUGAUGUCUGCUGAUCACUAUGAGGAAUCAGAAAGAUCCAAGAACAAAAUUCCUACCUUCCACUACGAGGAGAGGUAAGGAACUGCCAUCUAGCUCUCCACUUGAUUCACCUUUAGUUUUGAGUAAGUUUGUGACAGUGCCUCCUGCUAGAAAUCUUGAUAUGUCGCCUGUGCUUGAUGAUGCUACUUCUGCUGCCCAUGAUGCUUAUGAUGCUAUGCUUGAUACUAUGCCUGAUGAUGCUAUGCUUGAUACUAUGCCUGAUGAUGCUAUGCUUGAUACUAUGCCUGAUACUGCUUUUCCACUAGUUGCAUUCCUUCAUACACAUAUUGCUAGAGCUGCUGCUAGAUGUGAUGAUACUUUUGAAACUGCUGAUACUAUUGAAGUAGAACCUGCUACUAUGCCUGAAUUGCAAGUUAUGCCUGAUACGGGCUAUGUUAUGGAGGGAGAGAUAGCUGAGGACUUUCUUGCGUGUAAGGAUAGCUAUGAUUGUUGAGAAACUUCUGCGCAAGAGGAAAGAAAAAUCUCUGAAAGCUAGGAUGAAAUACGACCCGAAGUUUGCUACUUCGCCUAUCUUUGUGACCGAUAAGGAUUAUGAAUUCUCUGUCGACCCAGAGUUAAUCACUCUAGUCGAAUCUGAUCCUUUUCACGGUUAUGAGUCUGAAACGGUUGUAGCCCAUCUUACCAAACUGCACGAUAUGGCCACCUUAUUCACUAGGGAAGAAAAGAUCCGCCACUACUAUAUGAACAAGAUGUUUCCUUUCUCGCUAAAGGAUGAUGCUAAGACUUGGUUCACUUCUCUUGCUCCUGGGUGUGUGCGUAGCCCCCAGGAUAUGGUCUACUACUUCUCUGAAAAAUAUUUCCCUGCCCAUAAGAAGCAAGCUGCCUUGCAGAAAAUAUACAACUUUGCUCAAACUGAAGAAGAGAGUCUCCCACAAGCUUGGGAGAGGCUCAUCCAGCUACUGAAUGCUUUGCCUGAUCACCCUCUUGAGAAGAAUGAAAUACUUGAUAUAUUCUAUAAUGGACUUGCCGAUGCUUCCAAAGACCACCUAGAUAGUUGUGCUGGUUGUGUUUUUAGGGAACGAACCGUAGAACAAGCUGAGAUUCUACGGAAUAACAUCUUGUGCAAUGAGAAUGCUUGGACUAUUCCCGAACCACCUCCUAAGCCAAAUCCAAAGAGAAGAGGUAUUCUAUUCCUCAGUCCUGAAGAUAUGCAAGAAGCCAAGAAAUCUAUGCGAGAGAAACGCAUUAAAUCUGAAGAUGUCAAAUCUCUGCGUAGGCUUGAUGAGAGUGAUAUUCCUUUUGAUAAACCUGCUAGCUUAUGCAUGGAUAAAUUUGAUAACUUCGUUGCCAAACAAUAGAGUUUCAAUGAUUAUGUUAGCAGACAAUUGGAAAAGAAUGCUCGUAUGCUUAGUCAUUUAAGUGCUUGUGUGGACAGAAAUGUCAAUGAUCUUAAGCUUCUAAGUAAACAUGCCUCUAUGGUUACUACUCAGGUAGAACAAGUACUUAAAGCUCAGAAUGACUUCCUCAAUGAGUUGAAUGAAAAUUCUAUCAGGGUCGUUACUAGAGGGUAGAAUGACCCACGAACCUUUGUAUCCUGAGGGUCAUCCGAAGAGAAUUGAACAAGAUUCUCAAGGAGUUAGCACUGAUGCACCUAGUCAUCCUAGAAAGAAGAAGAAAGAUGAUAAGAACCAGCACGCUAGCAACCCUAUUGCUGCUACACCUGAGAGUCCAAACGAUGCCUCUGUCUCUGAUGCUGAAACACAAUCUUGUGAUGAACAUGAGCCUAAUGAUAAUAUCAAUAGUGAUGUUCAUGUUGAUGCUCAACCUAGCAACGAUAAUGAUGUGGAGAGUGAACCUGAUGUUGAUAACCCACAACCUAAGAAUAAGAGAUAUGAUAAGAAUGACCUCGCUGCUAGGAAGCAUGGUAAAGAAAGGGAGCCAUGGGUUCCGAAACCCAUGCCCUUUCCUCCCAAACCAUCCAAGAAAAAGGAUGAUGAGGAUUUUGAGCGCUUUGUUGAAAUGAUCAGGCCUGUCUUUCUGCAAAUGCGUUUGACGGGAGCUUUGAAUGCCCUAUUCCUUGUGUCAAGAUGAAGUAUGAUUUGCUUGUUGGGGAGAUACACAUCCCCAUUGAGGUGACUUAGUGACUAUUCGAAAAUUCUCUCACUUCUUUUGCAUUCGAGAAAUUUUUGUCGUGGGGAUUUGAUCAGCCCCAUUGACGGAUUUCUUUCGAUGAAUAUGAGAUGGAUGAAUCGAGGAGUCCCAAACCUCUGUUCCAAGCUUUCACCUUUGGUUGCUUAGAAGAAAAAUGAUAGAUUUAGUUUAGUUUUCCCUGUUUUCUGUUUUAGCGUCCGAUAGAAAAGUAUCCCGAAAAUAAAAGUUCUCCGAACAUCCUGAAAAUCAAGUAUGAUUUUUUCUGGAUUUUUUUCAAAAAUACUGGGACAAAGAGUCUGUCUGGGGGCCACACCAGUGGGCCACAAGCCCUAGGGGCGCGGGCACCCCCCUGGCCGCGCCACCCAGGGAUUGUGGGGCCCACAGGCACCCCCUCCACUCAUUCUUGCUCUCAUCCUCUUCUCCUACCUCCAGAAAAAAUCGUUUUGCACCUCAAACCCGUGUUCUUGCUCCUCUUGGUGGGAUUUUCGAUCUCUUUGCUCAAAUCACCAUUCUCCGAACUGUUUUGGGGAAAUUACUCCUUGGUAAGUGACCCCUCCAUUGGUCCAAUUAGUUUUUGCUCUACUGCCUUAUACUCCGCGUAUUUUUGCUGCCUUGGUGACCAUGUUCUUGAGCUUUGCAUGCUAAUUCUAGCUGGUCCCAAGUAGUUUUGAUGCGUAAUAUGGUCUCUAGGCACUUGUGGGAGUAGUUGCUACUAGUUUAGUUGAGCCUUGUUCACCUUUCCUUUGGGUCACUCAAAAUUUUAGAAAAGGAAGAUGUUCAGGAGAAACUUUCAUGGUGGUCCUCAAGCAAGAGAGGUCCCCGUCUUGCGAUUCGGGAGCCUGAUCCUUACCAACCAAGGGACGCGCAGGUACAACCAUGUGAAUGGCCUUCUGAUGAAUUUAUGACUAAGGCAGGUUUCAAAGAUGAGUUUGAUGCACUUGUUCGCAACGUCGGACUCGAAGAAUUCAUAUGCGAUAAAUGUGAAUAGUAUGUUGCUCUCACUACUUGUUUUGUUCGUAGAUUCAAAUUUUAAGCUGGCCGUGAGACAUCGGUACUGUUUGAUCUCUAUGAUAAAUCUUAUACCAUGGAUUUAGAGGAUGUCAGUAGAAUUUGCAAAAUACCUAUUUGGGGUAGCCUCAAUGAUCCUCCUAAAUCUUCGGUUAGAGAUUUUUGCUCUGGUAUUACUAUUGGAGAAACCAAAGACAUUACAUAAGGUACGAUGGGGAGUAUUCAUUUUCCUGCAUUGCAUUACUUUGCCCUCUUCAUAGGAAGAUGCAUUAAUGGCAAGAUUGAGCAUUGUCACCUCUGCGCACCCGACCUUAGUAUCCUUAAGAGCGCAAUGACGGGUGACAAAAGCUUCAACAUGGGAGCCAUUAUAGCAAGGAUGCUGAAUAAUAAUGCAAUUGAAGGGGAUUCCUUUGCUGGGAUCUAUGCCACUCGCAUAGCAAAUUUUCUUGGAGUACCCAUCCGCGAAGGAGAUCCCCCGCUCCAUACAGCUUUCCUUGACCGCGUCGCUUUGACACGCUACCAGUUCCUUGAGAGGGAUGAUGAAUCCCUCCUAUACCGAUUGAUAUUUAACCAGCAACGUGUUUUCCAUAUUACCCUUCCUGCUCCUGCUUUCUUUGACUUUCAGGUAAAACAGCGAUAUUACAUAACCAGAGGAGAGGCACAGGAGUAUGAGAGGGAGGCAAAGGCUUCCCAUAUCCGUGAGGCAACUAUUCAGGAAGUGGCUGCAGGGCUCCCGUAUAACCCCGAUUAUGAUUUUGGGUUUCACCACGACCAUCCUUGGGAGUAGACCAAGUUAGGCCAAAAGCCUAAGCUUGAGGGAGUACUUGUUCUCACCUACUUUACAUUCUUGCUUAUGCUAUCACUUUGUUAGCCGGUGUUCACACUUUUCCACUGUAUCAUCCAUGUUAGUUUAUUUUCUUUUUCUUGUUUUCUUUUUGUGUGUCUGUCUAGUUUGAGAAAACGCACAAAGAUUUUCUUCUUUUUCUUGUUGGGAGCUUUCCCGUGUAGAUAGUUCUCUUUUUCUCUGGGUCAAGCUAGAAUAUAUUGGUUACAAUAUUUAGUGGCUCUUGCAUGCAUACCUGUUUAGCUUUCAAAGAGUCAUAUUACUUUGUCUUCUCCUUUGUGUUUGCCUGCAGAUUCCAGCGUAGUCCAAUGCACGAGCACGCUAAUUAUUGUUCACAUCAUUCGGUCAUGCAAGUGAAAGGCAAUAAUGACGAUAUAUGAUGAAGUGACUGAGCCUAGAAAAGCUGGUAUGAACUCAAUCUAUUUUUUUUUGUAAAUACGACUAGCUCAUCAUGCCUGAUUCAGCUUUGUUGUGAGAGAAACAUGUUUGCAAUGACAACUUAGAGAUCAUAGUUGCUUAUGCCAUGCUUACUUAGCUAGGAGCUUAUAAUGGUUUGUCUUGGAUGCCCACAUGAAUGUUGAGAUGACUAUGAUGUAGUAUGAUAGGAUGGUAUCCUCCUUUGAAUGUUUCAAGUGGCAUGACUUGGCGCAUGUUCACGCAUGUAGUUGAAACAAAAUCAACAUAGCCUCUGUGAUGUUCAUGUUCAUGGUGAUUUAUGUCCUACUCAUGCUUGCACUCAAUGUUAGUUAAUCUCAAUGCAUUUUGAAGAUUGUUGUCGCUCUCUAGUUGGUUGCUUCCCAGUCUUUUGCUAGCCUUCCCUUGUACUAAGCGGGAAUACUGCUUGUGCAUCCACCUCCAUAAACCCAAAGUUGUUCCAUAUGAGUCCACCAUACCUACCUAUUUGCGGUAUCUACCUGCCGUUCCAAGUAAAUUUGCAUGUGCCACUCUCUAAACCUUCAAGAAAUAAUCUGCUUUGCAUGCCCGAACCGCUCAUGUGGUGACAGGGGGCUAUUGGUAUCUUCCAUGCUAGGCAUGUUAUCCUCGAUAUGUGUUUAUUCACUAUCAUUCACGAGAAAGGGGCCGGUAAUUGGAAUUCCCAGUUCCAUGCGCAAAUCGAAAAUAUAAUUGCAAACAAAACUCCCCCAGGAUUGAUGUUGGUUUGGACGGUACCCGAGGAUUCAGCUAGCCGUGGAGUGUGAUUGAUUGGUGGUGGGGGAGUCAAAACUUUACUUCUCUGUUUGGGAACCGCCUAGAGCAUGUGUAGCGUGGAAGAUGUUGAGAACUCCUAGUCAUUGUGUUGACAAGGAAAGCAUGCCACCCAAAAUUAUUAUCUCUGUUUUCAAAGCUUGAGCUCUGGCACCUCUACAAAUCAAUGCUUCCCUCUGUGAAGGGCCUGUCUAUUUAUGUUCUUGUUGAGUCAUCCUCCUCUUACAAAAGCACCAAUUAUAGAGCCCUCUGUCAUUUUUUUGCUUUUCUUUUAACUGCGUUGAGUAUGAAUGUGACUGGAUCUUCAUUGCCAUGAAUUACAAUGUUUAGUCAGCCCUUGGUCUUUUAAGGUGCUCUGCAUUUAUGUUUUGCGGUCUCAGAAAGAGCUAGCGAGAUACCAUCUAUUCGUAGUGCUUCAUGUUGUUUUGAUUGAAGUGUUGACGUUUGAGACUUAUUAUUAUUUGCUCGCUAGUUGAUUAUCCCAUUGAUAUGAGUUUACCGUGAGACCUAGAUGUCAUUUGCUUAUGUGGUUUGCUUGUGAUCUUGCUGAAAUUGUGGUUAUGAGUUAGACAUAGUUGCAACCACAAGAUCAAACAGAGUUCGUCAAAGUUUUUAUUUUGUCUCUUUCAGUUUGUCAAUUGAAAUGCUUGAGGACAAGCAAGGCUUUAAGCUUGGGGGAGUUGAUACGUCUCCGUCGUAUAUACUUUUCCGAACUCUUUUGCCGUUGUUUUGGACUCUAACUUGCAUGAUUUGAAUGGAACUAACCCGGACAGACGCUGUUUUCAGCAGAAUUGCCAUGGUGUUGUUUUUGUGCAGAAAAAAAGUUCUCAGAAUGUCCUGAAAAUUUAUGGAGAUUUUUCCUGGAAUAAAAGAAAAAUACCUGCGCAAAGAUCCACUGGAGGAGGUGGACCAGUGGGCCACAAGCACACAGGAUGCGACCACCCCUUGGCCGCGCUGUGAGGGCUUGUGGGGCCCACGUGGCUCCACCGCUCCCAAACUCAGCUCUAUAUCUUCCGUCUCGCCCGGAAAAAAAUCAGAGAGAAGGUUUCAUCGCGUUUUGCGAUACGGAGGCGCCGCCACAUCCUAUUCUUCAGCUCGAGGGCAAAUCUGGAGUCUGUUCUGGGCUCCGAAGAGGGGAAAUCGUCGCCAUCGUCAUCAUCAACCUUCCUCCAUCGACAAUUCCAUGAUGCUCUUCACCGUUAGUGAGUAAUCUCAUCGUAGUCUUGUUGGACGGUGAUGAGUUGGAUGAGAUCUAUUAUGUAAUCAAGUUAGUUUUUGACGGGGAUUGAUCCCUAGUAUCCACUAUGUUCUAGAUUGAUGUUACUACUACUUUGCCAUGCUUAAUGCUUGUCACUAGGGCCCGAGUUCCAUGAUUUCAGAUCUGAACCUAUUAUGUUGUCGCCAAUAUAUGUGUGUUUUAGAUCCUAUCUUGCAAGUUGUAGUCACCUACUAUGUGUUAUGACCCGGCAACCCCGGAGUGACAAUAGUCGGAACCACUCCCGGAGAUGACCAUAGUAUGAGGAGUUCAUGUAUUCACCGCGUGUUAAUGCGUUGGUCCCGUUCUUUAUUAAAAGGAGAACCUUAAUAUCGCAUAGUUUCCAUUAGGACCCCACUGCCACGGGAGGGAUGGAUAAUAGAUGUCAUGCAAGUUCUUUUCCCUAAGCACGUAUGACUACAUACGGAAUACAUGCCUACAUUAGAUUCAUGAACGGGAGCUAGUUACUUAUAUCUCCGUGUUAUAGCUAUUACAUGAUGAAUCACAUCCUUCAUACUCAUCCAUCACCGAUCCACUUCCUACGAGUCUUUUACUACUGGACCUUGCUACGUUACUUUGCCUAGGCUUGUCCGUUGCUACAAAAGGGAUUGGNNNNNNNNNNNNNNNNNNNNNNNNNNNNNNNNNNNNNNNNNNNNNNNNNNNNNNNNNNNNNNNNNNNNNNNNNNNNNNNNNNNNNNNNNNNNNNNNNNNNAGAAGAAGGAGGAGAAGGACUAGAAGGUCCUUGGCCUUCUCCUCCUCGUCCUCCUCCUCGUCCUCCUCCUCGUCCUCCUCCUCCUUCUCUUCUUCUUCUUAUCUUCUUCUUCUUCUUCUUUCUUUUCAUUUUUCCUAUUUCUUCUCCUCUUCUCCUCUUGUUGGAGCUAAAUUACCUAAUUAUUUCUUUUUUGAGCUAAAUGGGCUAAUUAUCCCAUUUUAGAAGAAAACAAGCUAAGUAUAUAAUAUUCAUGAGCUAACCAAGGUUCUUAUCCCAUUUUGAGCUUAUUAUGGUAUUUUGGAGCUAAAUGGGCUAAUUAUGUCAUUGUUGGGUUAAUUAAAGCAAGGAUAAUAUGAAAGAGGAGAAUAAAGAGGAGGAGGAGGAGAAGAAGAAGAAAUCAAGAAGAAGGAGGAGGAGGAGGAGAAGGAUAGAAGGUCCUUGGCCUUCUCCUCCUCCUCCUCCUUCUCGUUCUUCUCUUCUUCUUCUUCUUCUNCUUCUUCUUCUUCUUUCUUUUCAUUUUGCCUAUUUCUUCUCCUUUUCUCCUCUUGUUGGAGCUAAAUUACCUAAUUAUGUGUUUUUGAGCUAAAUGGGCUAAUUAUCCCAUUUUAGAGGAAAACAAGCUAAGUAUAUAAUAUUCAUGAGCUAUCCAACGUUCUUAUGCCAUUUUGAGCUUAUUAUGGUAUUUUGGAGCUAAAUGGGCAAAUUAUGUCAUUGUUGGGUUAAUUACCCUGGUGCAUGGACAUGCACCUACCACGCAAAGUUCGCAGGUCCAGAAGUUGCCCUUUUGAUCCACAAGACUUUCCAUGUUACCUAUACUACUUUUCAGGUUAUAUAAAUUUUUUCGAUAUUUUCUACAUUUGAGGAUGGCAAUAUUAUUUAAGUUGUCAUGUUUUGCUCCGGUACCAAUAAAUAUAGACGAUACAUUAUUUUGACAAACUUGAUUUCAACAAAAGAACAUGUGUUUUUUUUGAAGUAGUCUUGAACCUAAGAAAUAAUGAUGGGCGAAUAAACUAACAAAAUCUAGCACUAAAUCUACUAAUUAACUAACAGAAUCUACCACUAAAACUACUAAUUAAUUCCAAAAAACUAAAUACCAAACAUGUGAUCUUCUUUUUGUCUUCUCCUCCUCCUAUUCUUCUUCUUCUUCUUNNNNNNCUUCUUCUUCUUCUUCUCCUCCUCCUCGUCUUCUCGUCUUCUCCUCCUCCUCCUCUUCUUCUUCUUCCUAUUCUUUCUAGUAAGUUAACUAACUAACUAACCUAACUAACGAAGCUAACUAAACCUAUCACUAAACCUAGAGAGCACUAAACAGCAAAAAAAUAACAAAAACAGAAUCUACCACUAUAACAAAAACAGAAUCUACCACUAAGUAACUAAAAAAGAAUCUAGCUACCACUAAUACCAAACAAUAAAAAAUCAACUUCUUCUUCUUUUUUCUCUUCUUCUCCUUCUUAUUUUUUUCUUAUUCUCUUCUUCUCUUCUUCUUUACUUCUUCUCCUUCUUAUUUUUUUCUUCUCUUCUUCUUCCUUUUCUUCUUCUCCUCCUUCUUAUUUUCUUCUUCUCCUCUUCUUCUUCUUCNNNNUCUUCUUCUUCUUCUUUUUCUUCUCCUCCUCCUCCUCCUACUACUCCUCUUCUUCUUCUCCUCUUCUUGUCCUCCUCCAACUCCUCUUCUCCUCUUCUCCUCCUCAACCUAACUAACCAAUUAACUAACUAACCUAACUAAAACAACUAACCUAAUUAAAUCUACCACUAAAACUACUAANNNNNNNNNNNNNNNNNNNNNNNNNNNNNNNNNNNNNNNNNNNNNNNNNNNNNNNNNNNNNNNNNNNNNNNNNNNNNNNNNNNNNNNNNNNNNNNNNNNNAAACCUGGGGGCUGAGCAACAUAUACUUCUUCCUCAAGCUUACCAUUGAGGAAUGCACUUUUCACAUCCAUUUGAUACAAAAUGAUGUUAUGAUGAUUAGCAUAAGCAAGUAGUAUUCGAAUAGCUUCAAGUCUAGCAACAGGUGCCAAAGUUUCAUCGAAAUCUAUUCCUUCAACCUGGGUGUAGCCUUGGGCUACAAGUCGUGCCUUGUUCCUCACCACUUGACCGUCCUCAUCUUGCUUGUUUCGGAAAAUCCACUUGGUGCCGAUGAUGUUGUGCUUGCGAGGAUCUGGUCGUUUGACGAGCUCCCAUACGUCAUUCAGCUUGAAUUGAAGAAGUUCGUCUUGCAUAGCUUGGAUCCACUCCGGUUCCAGAAAANNNNNNNNNNNNNNNNNNNNNNNNNNNNNNNNNNNNNNNNNNNNNNNNNNNNNNNNNNNNNNNNNNNNNNNNNNNNNNNNNNNNNNNNNNNNNNNNNNNNNNNNNNNNNNNNNNNNNNNNNNNNNNNNNNNNNNNNNNNNNNNNNNNNNNNNNNNNNNNNNNNNNNNNNNNNNNNNNNNNNNNNNNNNNNAGAGUGAGAGGACCUGGUGCAUUGAUGUCGUUGAGGAUUUUGUCAAGUUCUACUUCAUUUGCAAUCCUUGGAUGAGCUGGUUGAGGAUUUUGUCUGGGCUGAGGAAGUGGUGCUGGUGCAAUUUCCUCAGGAGCAUCUUCUUGAUUUUUAUCAGUGAUGGGGAUCGUUUCUUCACCAAUUUCCUCAGUGGGGACAAUGUCUUCAGUAGGCUUGAGCUUUAUUGCUUCNNNNNNNNNNNNNNNNNNNNNNNNNNNNNNNNNNNNNNNNNNNNNNNNNNNNNNNNNNNNNNNNNNNNNNNNNNNNNNNNNNNNNNNNNNNNNNNNNNNNCUUAAUUCCUGCUCGUCCUCGAGUAGUUAAAUGAUAAAAAAGAUAAUUUUGAUGUGGAAUGCUACCUAGCAUAAUCUUGAUCAUAUAAUCUAAUCAUGGAAUGAAUAGUAAAACACGAGUGAUUCGAAGCAAUAGUCUAUCAUUUGACAUAAAGACAAUAAUAUUUCAAGCAUACUAACAAAGCAACCAUGUCUUCUCAAAAUAUCAUGGCCAAAGAAAGUUAUCCCUACAAAAUCAUAUAGUCUGACUAUGCUCCAUCUUCCCCACACAACGUAUUUAAAUCAUGCACAACCCCGGUUUUAGCCAAGCAAUUGUUUCAUACUUUAGUGUUCUCAAACCUUUUCAACUUUCAUGCAAUACAUGAGCGUGAGCCAUGGACAUAGCACUAUAGGUGGAAUAGANNNNNNNNNNAAGGGUACAGUGGGUUGCGGGAGAGUGGACCACUGAAUAAAGAUGGGGGAAGGUGAUGGAGUUGGUUGUGAAGAUGACGGAGGUGUUGUUGUAGAUCGCCGUCACACGAUGAUGUCCCGGGCGGCGUUCCGGCGCCGCCGGGAGAGAGGGGGAGAUAGCCCCCCUUCUUCUUCUUCUUCUUCCUUGACCUCCUCCAUAGAUGGGAGAAGGGUUUNNNNNNNNNNUGGCGGAGGGGUGAGAGCCCCUCCGAUAUUGGAUGUCUCUCUCUGUGUCCUUCUGUUUCUGCGCUCCCAGAUUUUGGCCUUUCACCGUUUCUUAAAUUUCCGGAGAUCCGUAACUCCGAUUGGGCUGACAUUUUAACACGAUUUUCUUCCGGAUAUUAUCUUUAUUGUGGCGAAAGAAGGGACCCAACCGCCUUAGGGCUUGUUCACAAGCCUGCCAGGCGCGGCCCCACCACCAGGUCGCGACUAGGGGUCUUGUGACCCCCUCGUGCAUCGUUUCGCGUUGGUUCUUCUUCCCCAAAAUCGUAAAUAUUCUAGAAAAACAUUCCCGUAGGUUUUUUUUAUUGCAUUUGGACUUCGUUUGGUAUGGAUAAUCUGCGAAACAAAAAACAUGCAACAAACAGGAACUGUCACUGGGCACUGGAUCAAUAUGUUAGUCCCAAAAAUAGUAUAAAAAGUUGCCAAAAGUAUAUGAAAUUUGUAGAAUAUUGGCUUGAAACAAUCAAAAAUUAUAGAUACGACGGAGACGUAUCAGCAUCCCCAAGUUUAAUUCCUGCUCGUUCUCGAGUAGGUAAAUGAUAAAAAAGAUAAUCUUUCAUGUGGAAUGCUACCUAGCAUAAUCUUGAUCAUAUAAUCUAGUCAUGGCAUGAAUACUAAAACACGAGUGACUCGAAGCAAUAGUCUAUUAUUUGACAUGAAGACAAUAAUAUAAGAAGCAUAUUAACAAAGAAAUCAUGUCUUCUCAAAAUAUCUUGGCCAAAGAAAGUUAUCCCUACAAAAUCAUAUAGUCUGGCUAUGCUCGAUCUUCCCCACACAACGUAUUUAAAUCAUGCACAACCCCUGUUUUAGCCAAGCAAUUGUUUCAUACUUCAGUGUUCUCAAACUUUUUCAACUAUCACGCAAUACAUGAGCGUGAGCCAUGGACAUAGCACUAUAGGUGGAAUGGAAUAUGGUGGUUGUGGAGAAGACAAAAAGGAGGAGAUAGUCUCACAUCAACUAGGCGUAUCAAUGGGCUAUGGAGAUGCCCAUCAAUACAUAUCAAUGUGAGUGAGUAGGGAUUGCCAUGCGACAGAUGCACAAGAGCUAUAAGUGUAUGAAAGCNNNNNNNNNNNNNNNNNNNNNNNNNNNNNNNNNNNNNNNNNNNNNNNNNNNNNNNNNNNNNNNNNNNNNNNNNNNNNNNNNNNNNNNNNNNNNNNNNNNNUUAGUCAUCGAAACAAGGUACUACACGCAUGCUCCUAAGGGAAGGGUUGGUAGGAGUUAACCAUCGCGCGAUCCCGACUUCCACACAAAGGAUGACAAUCAAUAAAUAAAUCAUGCUCCGACUUCGUCACAUAACGGUUCACCAUACGUGCAUGCUACGGGAAUCACAAAUCUUAACACAAGUAUUUCUACGAAUACACAAUUCCUCACUAGCAUGACUCUAAUAUCACAUCUUCAUGUCGCAAAAUUAUUGCAAGGAAUCAAACAUAUCAUAUUCAGUGAUCUACAAGUUUUAUGAAGGAUUUUAUGACUAACCAUGUGAAUGACCAACUCUUGUUAACUCUCUAAAAUAGCUCUAAGUGAAGCAUGAGAGUUUAAUUCUUUCAAAAAAACAUAUGCCCCGCUCUAACAAAUAUAAGUGAAGCAAAAGAGCAUUCUACAAAUGACGGUUUUAUAUGUGUAGGGAAACAUGCAAUCCAAACUUCAAAUGAUAUAAGUGAAGCACAUGAAGCAUUCUAUNNNNNNNNNNNNNNNNNNNNNNNNNNNNNNNNNNNNNNNNNNNNNNNNNNNNNNNNNNNNNNNNNNNNNNNNNNNNNNNNNNNNNNNNNNNNNNNNNNNNUGAAGAAUUUGGACACGAGCUUGCAAUGCUCGUGAGGAAAUUCCAGAGAUUUACACGACGUGGCCAGUUCGGUAAAUCUUCAAGAAGAGACAUGAGGAAAUCAGAAUCUUCAUCUGAGGACCACAAGAAACGAACCUGUCACAAGUGCAAGAAAUCAGGUCAUUACAUUGCUGAUUGUCCUCGUUGGGGAAAGGAAUCAAAGAAGAAGAAAUACAAGGAUGACAGUUGUGAUGACUCGAAGAAGAAGAAGAAAUUUUCAAAAUCCUCAUCUUCAAAGCCCUCAUCACACAAGAAGACCAGUUUCAGAAAGGCUCGGGCACUUAUUGGCAAGGAAAUGGACUCCGAGGCAGAAUCAGAGGAAUGUGAUGAAGAAGAGUGUUCUGAUGAAGACUCGGAAUCCAGACAGGUUAGUCUUGCACUGGCAACCACUUUCGUCAGCAAGUCAAUCUUCAAUCUUGAAGAAAAUGAUUGCACCAUCCAUAUUGAUGACUAUGCUGAUGACUUCACUCCAACCUAUUGCUUCAUGGCAAAAGGUUCGAAGGAUGACAAGCCCAAGAAUACUGAGUGGGUUCUUGAUAGUGGCUGCACACAUCACAUGACUGGUGAUAAAAGCUUACUGAUGAAUAUGCCACUAACUCCAUCACCUCUGAAGCAAAUCACAUAUNNNNNNNNNNAGGUGAAUGUCCUCAUGACACCACCACUGAAGAAUCUGAACCCCAGAUCAAAUUCCUCAGGAGGACCAAAGUCUUCAAGAGGAUCAAAAUCCUCAACUGGUCAAAAUUAUGCUCGUACCCGUGCUAAUGCAUCUAACAUGCAGGGAAACUACAAGGAAUAUGAAUAUGAGCGUUACUCUUCAAAUCAUUAUGUUCAUAAAUCCUCAAACCAGUUCUCUACAUAUUCAUAUGAGUAGUUUAACCCCCCUACUAUUAAGAGAAGUGCAUUAGCUUCAAUGCCACCUUUCUCAUCUGGUGCUCGCAGGAUGAUGAAUGCUUUGCCACCCCUUCAGAUGUGGGUGGUGAAGAAAUCGAACUAAUCACUUCUGCAGGACAGGUCUCCAGAUGAAAAUCAUCAUGUGAAGAAUUUGCUGGAGACCUGAGGAAAUGCUUGAUAGGACGCAAGCUAAUGUUGAUAAAAUAGAAAUAUUUCACUCGUCCUUAUAAUUCUGUUGUGAUGAAAUUCUUAUCUGAUGAAAUUGAUAUCAUAUUCUUCAAAUCUGAAGCAUAUGAGAUGGUAAGCUGUACUAAUUCAUCUGCAGGAUGACAAACCCAAGAAUACUGAGUGGGUUCUUGAUAGUGGUUGCACACAUCACAUGACUGGUCAUAAAAGCUUGCUGAUGAAUAUGCCACUAACUCCAUCACCUCUGAAGCAAAUCACAUAUGCUCACAAAGGUAAAAGCAAGGUAUUGGGACUUGGCAAAGUGGCUAUUUCCAAGGAUAGGCAUAUGGACAAAGUAAUGCUUGUUGAAUCCCUUGGUUUUAACCUCAUGUCAAUCUCGAUGCUUUGUGAUCUUGAUAUGAUUGUUAUCUUUGGUAGAUAUAGAUGUGUAGUCAUCAUGGAAUCUGACAGAUCCAAAGUCUUCGAAGGUGUAAGAGGAGGGGAUUUGUACAUUGUUGAUUUAUCUACAGGUCCUCAACCAAUCACUUGCUUACUAGCAAAAACCUCAGAAGGAUGCUUGUGGCACCGAAGACUAGGUCAUGCAGGCAUGAGGAAUUUGUACACGCUCGCGAAGAAGAAGCAUGUCAUCGACAUCGAAUCGGUCAAAUUCCUCAAGGAUCAUCUCUGCGGUGCUUGUGAAUCUGGGAAANNNNNNNNNNUAAGACUAUCAUGACCACUACAUGCCCAUUCAAAUUGCUUCAUAUGGAUUUAUUUGGACCUAUUCACUAUGCCACACUAACCAAUGCAGCAUCAUUAUAUGGCUUCGUCAUAGUUGAUGAUUAUUCCAGAUAUACUUGGGUGCAUAUCAUAGUGUAUAAAACUGAAGUGCAGGAAAUCUUCAAACGAUUUUCUUCAAGGGCCUCCAUGAACUUUGGCAUCAAGAUCAAACAUAUCAGGAGUGAUAAUGGAACUGAGUUCAAAAACACUGGUCUUGAUGAUUAUCUUGAUGAACUUGGUAUUACUCAUGAAUUAUCUGCUCCUUAUACUCCUCAGCAGAAUGGUGUCGUCGAAAGGAAGAACAGGACUCUGGUCGAAAUGGCAAGAACUAUGCUUGAAGAAUAUCAGACUCCUCGUCGCUUUUGGCCUGAAGCAAUCAACACUGCAUGCCAUAUCAUCAACAGGGUAUAUCUUCAGAAUUCCUCAAGAAUACCUCAUAUGAACUCCUCACUGACAAGAAACCCAAUGUAAGUUAUUUCAAAGUCUUCGGUGCAAAAUGCUGGAUUAGAGAUCCUCAACAUAGCUCAAAAUUUGCACCUAAGGCACAUGAAGGUUUUAUGCUCGGUUAUGGAAAGGACUAGCACACUUACAGAGUCUUCAACAACUAUCACAACAAAGUUGUUGAGACUGUAGAUGUGCGGUUCGAUGAAACUAAUGGCUCACAAAGAGAGCAAUUGCCUUCUGAUCCAGAUAAGUUGUCUCCUGAGGAAGCAAUAAAGCUCAAGCCUACUGAAGACAUUGUCCNNNNNNNNNNNNNNNNNNNNNNNNNNNNNNNNNNNNNNNNNNNNNNNNNNNNNNNNNNNNNNNNNNNNNNNNNNNNNNNNNNNNNNNNNNNNNNNNNNNNGAAAAAGGGGGAGAUUGUAAGUGCAUCUAGUGCCCCUUAGUGAUUUUGGUGGUUUGAAGACUUAUAGGUUAAGUAUCUAAUGUGUUUAUGAGUGUACACAUGAUCUAUAAGUCACUGAGGAGUUUGAGAUAUCUGAUGAAUAUCGACCCCUAAAAAUAUAUAUCUUCGGUUGAAGAAAUUGGUCUGAUGCUGAAGAAUUGAAUCGUGAAGGAUCUGCGAUGAAAUUGAUAUUCCUCAUGAAGAUACUGAAAUUGAGAAAUUCGGAGUGUCGUGAAGAAAAUCAUCUUGAAGACUUUGAAGCAUGAAUAUUUACUCUUUCUGUUUUAUUUUCUUCGCAUUUGAGUAAUAGGAACACCGUACUGUUAAAGGGGGUCGAAGUUACACUCUGGAAUGAAUUUCCUCAUGAUGCUCAACCCAAGCCUAAUCCUACCAAANNNNNNNNNNAUCUCACAGUUGAGGGUUCUGUCCGUUUUGAUAGCCGCGCCACAUCAUUGGUCUUAUCCACACCAACGGUCAUAUUAUUUAAGGGCAUUAGUGUCAAAUCAUGUCGGGAUGCUCCCAGGCUAUAAAUAGCCGCCCCCACAACCAUUAGCUGGUUGGCUGCUCCGCUAGGAAUUGACACUUGUCAUAAGAGCAACCCAAAUUCCUCAGAGUCUUCGAGAGUAAUUCAUCAGUGAGGAAAUACCCCAUACACCGAAACCANNNNNNNNNNCUGAAGAAAAUCACUUUGAAGAAUUGAAGCAUGAAGAUUUACACUUUCUGUUUUACUUUCUUCGCAUUCGAGUAAUAGGAACACCGUACUGUUAAAGGGGGUCGAAGUUACACUAUGGAAUGAAUUUCCUCAUGAUGCUCAACCCAAGCCUAAUCCUACCAAAAGCCUCAAAUGAGGAAUACAAGUGACAUGAGGACUCUCACAGUUGAGGGUUCCGACCGUUUCGAUAGCCACGCCAAGUCACUGGUCUUAUCCACUUCAACAGUUAUAUUACUUAAGGGCAUUAGUGUCAAAUCAUGUCGGGAUGCGCCCAGGCUAUAAAUAGCCACCCUCCACAACCACUAGCUGGUUGGCUGCUCCGUUAGAAACUGACACUUGUCAUAAGAGCAAGCCAAUUCCUCAGAGCCUUCGAGAGUAAUUCAUCAGUGAGGAAAUACNNNNNNNNNNNNNNNNNNNNNNNNNNNNNNNNNNNNNNNNNNNNNNNNNNNNNNNNNNNNNNNNNNNNNNNNNNNNNNNNNNNNNNNNNNNNNNNNNNNNCAUCUGGUUUGGAGCGGCUUGGUAUUGAAACCAAAGGACACACAGUCCCGGGACACACAGUCCCUACCGUAUUCUCCUUGAGCUAAGGACACACAGUCCUUGCCCAACACUCGUGGUAAGUCUUCAGGGCAGACUUCCAAACCCUCACAAACUUGAUCACCCGGCGAUCCACAAUUGACUGCUGGAAAGCUCUAGACCAUGACGCCUAACCGUCUGGAGGAUGCACAGUCCUCAAAGGUAAAAGGCUUCAGUCCCACACAGGAACAACUUCUUAAGUGAUGCUCAAUCACUAGGUUUGGUUUGUGGUUUCGGUGUAUGGUGUAUUUCCUCACUGAUGAAUUACUCUCGAAGGCUCUGAGGAAUUGGCUUGCUCUUAUGACAAGUGUCAGUUUCUAACGGAGCAGCCAACCAGCUAGUGGUUGUGGAGGGUGGCUAUUUAUAGCCUGGGCGCAUCCCGACAUGAUUUGACACUAAUGCCCUUAAGUAAUAUAACUGUUGAAGUGGAUAAGACCAGUGACUUGGCGUGGCUAUCGAAACGGUCGGAACCCUCAACUGUGAGAGUCCUCAUGUCACUUGUAUUCCUCAUUUGAGGCUUUUGGUAGGAUUAGGCUUGGGUUGAGCAUCAUGAGGAAAUUCAUUCCAUAGUGUAACUUCGACCCCCUUUAACAGUACGGUGUUCCUAUUACUCGAAUGCGAAGAAAGUAAAACAGAAAGUGUAAAUCUUCAUGCUUCAAUUCUUCARAGUGAUUUUCUUCAKGAACCACCGGACUUCUCAAUAUCAGUAUCUUCAUGAGGAAUAUCAAUUUCAUCGCAGAUUCCUCGCGAUUCAUUUCUUCAGCUUCAGACCAAUCUCUUCAGCUGAAGACAUAUAUUUUUAGGGGUCGACAUUCUUCAAAUAUCUCGAACUCCUCAAUGACUUAUAGAUCGUGUGUACACUCACAAACACAUUAGAUACUUAACCUAUAAGUCUUCAAACCACCAAAAUCACUAAGGGGCACUAGAUGCACUUACAGUACGUAAUAUGAUGAUGAGUUAUAUGACAUGAUAUUUGUGCCAUGACUUGUGUGUAUUGCUAUUUUCGAGAUUUGAUGAUAUUUGUGUUGGAUAACGAUAUAUGUGUUGGAUAAUAAUGAUGAUGGUAUAAAUGAUGAGACUACUUUAUGUGUAUGAUAUGAUGAGAAUGAUUCAUGUUUAUUAUGAUACGAUGAAACUACUAUUUCGAGCAUGCACAAAUACAUAUAGGGGGCAUAAAUACGACGUGAAUUAAAUAAUAAAAGCAUGAAUAUUAGUAGUAGUGCUGGAAUAUUAGGAGUAGCAUCGACCUAGGAGUAGUGCUUUACGUAAUCCAACGCUACUGCUAAUGUAGAUACGAGUAGCGCUUUAAUCCAGUAGUAAUGCUAAUAGGUUAGUUGUAGCGCGUUAGCAGUACCGCUGCCCCCAUCGCUACAGCUAAGGGUAAAACCAGCGCUACUGGUAGGAUUUCUCCUAGUAGUUCAAAGUCAUCGUCCCAGUCAUUAGUGUUGUUAAUGUUGUCAUUUUCUUCAAGGUCAAAUAUGGACUUGUUGACGAAUGUGGUAGCAACGGCUAAGCUUGCCACACUAGACUCUAAAUCCUCUUUAGAUCCUUCCUCUUCAUCACAUUCUUCCUCAGAAUCCAUUUCCUUGCCAAUAAGACCCCGAGCCUUUCUGGAACUGUUCUUCUUGUGCGAUGAGGACUUUGAAUAUUAGGACUUUUUUAGAUUUCUUCUUUUUCUUUGAGUCAUCAAAACUGCCAUCCUUUUAUUUCUUCUUCUAUGAUUACUUCACCCAGCGAGGACAGUGAGCAAUAUAGUGGCCAAAUUUCUUGCAUUUAUGGCAGGUUCUGUUCUUGUAGUCCUCAUAUGAACAUUCUGAUUUCCUCAUAUCUCUUCUUUAAGACUUUACGAACUGGCCUUGUCUCGAGAACUUCUGGAAUUUCCUCACGAGCAUAGAAAGUUCUUGAUGAAGUUCCUCGGGAUCGCCAAGGCUGCAAUCAGAGUCUUCUUCUUCAAAUGAGGAAACAACCUUUGCCUUCAGCGCACAAGGUCUUCGAUAGCUUUAUCCAUAGAGGUAUCUUUUUUAGCUUGUUGGAAUUUGUGAGUAUUGAGUCUCUCAAGAAUAUUAGCAGGAUCUAGAGCCUUGUAGUCUCUUCGUUCUUGAAUCAUCAGAACCAAUGUAACAAAUGAAGAAUCAAGAGAUCUCACCAAUUUCUUCACCACCUCAUGAUCAGUGAUGUCUCUCGCUCCUAGAGCCUGUAGCUCAUUGGAGAUAUCAGUGAGGCAAUCGAAGGUUUGCUAGCAGCUUUCACUAUCGAGUAUUUUGAAGUGGUUGAAGAGAUUGCGAAGAACAUCAACUCGAGUCACGUUGAGUAGACACUCCUUCAUUGACCUUGGAUAACCUUUCCCAAACCUGCUUUGUAAAGCCCAAAGAUCUCACUCUGCCAUACUGACCUUUGCUCACAUGGCCACAGAUGAUAUUCUUCGCUUGAGAGUCGAGUUUCCUGAAUCUCUUCACAUCAGCAACAUUGAUUGUUUCAGACACAAUGGGAACACAUUUUUCCACAAUUUACCAAAGACCGUUGUCAAUUGCUUCAAUGUGAAUGCACAUCUUGUUCUUCCAGUAGGGGUAGUCCGUCCCUUCAAAGGCAGGACAACCCGUAGUGACCUCAAUCAUACCUAUGAUCGACAUAACUAAAACUCCACGUGGUUAAACCAAAAUCACACAGAACAAGGGAGUAACUUUUUCUGAUACCAUUCAAAAGUGUGUUAUAUCGACUAGAGGGGGGUGUAUAGGUGAUUUUUAUGAAUUAAUCAUGAAGGAAAUUCUUUCUAAGGAAAGUCAUCGGCCACGAGCAGUGAGGAGCGGAUUAAGUACUCACACAAGUGUGCACAAGAAUGACAACAUAGUCUUUAGUGUGAAACGAAACAUUCGGUUUUCACAAGUAGCGUGUUCACGAUAUGCAGGUGAAGAAUAAGUGAAAUGAAGAAUUUGUGGUGAGGAAAUUGCGAAAGUCUUUAGUCAAAUUCUUCUAACAGUAACGAUCAAUUUCACCAAUGUGCAAGUGAGGAAAUGAAAGGGUUGAGGAAAUAGAACCAGGUGCUCGAUGAAGAUAGUGGUUUGAUGACCGAGUUCCAGCUGUUGUGAUAGUCGUACUUCUGGUUUGGAGCGGCUUGGUAUUUAAACCAAAGGACACACAGUACUUACCGUAUUCUCCUUGAGCUAAGGACACACAGUCCUCGCCCAAUACUCGUGGUAACUCUUUAGGGAAGUCUUACAAACCGUCACAAACUUGGUCACCGAACGAUCCACAAUUUACUGCUGGAUGGUCUAGACCAUGACGCCUAACCAUCUGGAGGAUGCACAGUCCUCAAAGGUAACAUGCGUCAGUUCCACAUAAGAACAAUCUCUUUAGUGAUGCUCAAUCACUUUGGGGUUUUUGGGUUUUGGUUUGGGUGUUUUGGGUUUUUCCUCACUGAUCAUUUUCUCUCAAAGUCUUCGAGGAAUGGGUUGCUCUCAAAUGACAAGUCUGAGUUUCUCUCGCGGAGCAGCUAACCCGCUAGUGGUUAUGGGGGGCUAUUUACAGCCUCAGAGCAGUCCCGACAUGAUUUGACAUAAAUGCCCCAAUGAUAUGAACGUUAUCUGGAUAAGGUUGGGGACAGCUGGCGCGCGGCGCUGCAACGGUCGGAACAUUUCAACUGUGAAAGUCCUGAUGUCACUCAUGUUCCUCACUGGUAGGUAAUUGGCACUAGCAAAAACCUAACUCCUCAGUUAGAGAAAAUUCCUCACAGACCAACAGAUAUUCGUCUAUGUCACUGAAGAAUUUGACUAAACAGUAAAAUAUUUCCAAAGUCUUCACUCGAAGGAUUUGUAUGAGUAGGCUUUGAGAUGAACAUCACUUUAAAAUUUUCCAUUAGUUUUACCUCAACCCUCUUUUAUAGUGCGGCGGUCCGAUGACUCAAAGACAGGAAAUGAAACUAUGAAAACAAAAGUCUUCACGCUUCAAAGUCCUUGUAUCAAUUUCAUCACGGACACACCAGUUUCCCCACUUUCAAAGUCUUUGAGGAAAUACCAAAGUCUUCAGCCGNNNNNNNNNNNNNNNNNNNNNNNNNNNNNNNNNNNNNNNNNNNNNNNNNNNNNNNNNNNNNNNNNNNNNNNNNNNNNNNNNNNNNNNNNNNNNNNNNNNNCGACAAUGCUAUGUGUCCUUUUGAUCACAAGAUAUAUGCUCCAUGGAUCAUGAGAUUCAUCAGGACAAGGACAGGCAUCAACUUCCACGCUGAUUUCCAAAACCAUAUGGGUUAUAUGCCUCCUAUCCGGGUCAACAAGAAGACUUUCGAGUCCAUUGAAGGAAAAGGCAAAUCUGUGAUUGACGAAGGUAGUAGGCCCCUUGAUGGCCAAUUCAGAGAGCUAGAAGCUUAUUCUUCAUGGGAUGAUACUGAGACUCGUCCGGCAAGCCCCGUUCCUCCUCGCGUGAUGAAUACCAGAGAGCUCCUCAUCAGUCUUCACCAAAAGGUGGAUCGCAACCACAAAUGGGUCAAACGCCAGUUUGGUGCCAUUGUGAAAACCCUCACUGAAACACAGAACUCUGUGAAGCUCAACCAUCACUAUCUGCAUGAGGUUUUCGAUCGCACCUGCGCUACACUUGCACAUCUGAAGACUCAUACUGAGCUUGAAGAAAUGGACUUUGAGCGAGACUUUGAAUGGUCGUGGCCUCCCAAGAAGAAGUUCAGGCCUAUUCCAGUGCCAGACCUUGAAGACAGCUCCUUUUCUUCAUUCCUCACUGCUGAAACUGAUGAAGAACAGCUACCAGUCCAAGGAAGAAGACUACUCCCAAGAAGCAUCACGGCUCUUCCUCAACCGCCAAGAAGUGAAGUCUUCACGAGUGCUAGUCCUCAGUUUGUCCCUUUUUGUCACUUGAUGACAAAGGGGGAGAAACUUGAGAGUUAGUCUUCAAGCGGGAUAUUUUUGGGGCUUAUGAACUAUAUUUAAGUUACAAACUCUUGGCUCUUCUGAAGUUUUUAUGUAAUGAGUUGUAACUUAAGCCCGAUGGUGCUCUGACGCUUUUUGAACAUUUUUCUUCGCAUGCUUAUUCCUCAAGUUUUAAUGCACGCGUGCGAAUUCGUCAGAUACCAUUUGUCAUCAUGCAUCUUCAUAUUCUUCAUAUGAUAUGUUACAUGUAUGCAUGAUUUACAAGACUCAGGGGGAGAUCUCCAUGAUAUAUAUCAUCAAUGUGCAUUUGCUGUAAAAAGCAAAAUCCUCAAGAUAUGCACAUCUUCAUGGGGAGUCUCUCUGAAUCUUGAUUUCAAAUUCCUCAAAUGAGUAUUUACACUUCAUAUUUUUGAUCCCUGUUGAAGACUUAACCUAAUUGUCAUCAACCACCAAAAAGGGGGAGAUNNNNNNNNNNNNNNNNNNNNNNNNNNNNNNNNNNNNNNNNNNNNNNNNNNNNNNNNNNNNNNNNNNNNNNNNNNNNNNNNNNNNNNNNNNNNNNNNNNNNUUAUGGACGGGACCCAACCUAGGACUUUUCAUGAGAUGCUACGUAGAGGCUAGAAGACCAAACAUCUGAAGACACACCGGAAGCAUGCGUCCAUGACAACAACGACAAACGACCGAAGAAGAAUGAAGCACAUACAUGGGCAACUUACUCAAGCAGAAGAUGUCGAUGGAAAGCCUACGACGAACCGUUCAAUUCUAACCCGAGACAUCUAAGUGUCACUAACCAACGAGUGCAGCCCCAGGACUAACACUCAAACAC
rnacentral:lncRNA from 1 species